UUUCUCGGGCACAGAAAUACACAGCGGAGUCGGCAGCUGUCAGGGAGGUCAGCUGGAGAGAGAACUCGUUCUUGGAGGCAUCUGAAGAAAUGGUUGUUCGGCUUUGCAGAGAAGGGGCAUAGAAUUUGCCCCCUGAGUUGUGAUUUAUUGCUGCAAUCCAUUCUAGACCUUUCCCACGAGGCUGACGGAUCCAGUGCCAAGCAUAAGAAGAAGAAGUGGAAAUAGAGAAACCUGUCACUUUACAGACUAAACUCAGAUUCUCUCCAGGUCUCACUGUUCCUGGUCCAGAAAGUGCAAGCUGAAUGUCUGAGAAGGCCCCUUGGGAAAGAGAGAAGAUUGCAAUGAGCAUCAGACACCAUCUAAUUCAUACAUUAAGUAAACAGAGCUGUCUUAAUUUUCCCCAGAAGGCAUGCUUACAUCUUGGAACAGCCACAAAAGAAAACAAGAACAGAAUGAACUUCAUAAUUUGUAUAGGUAGCCUAUUGAGGAAAGAUGAUCUUUUGAACGGGAGAAAAGGUCAGGGUCUUUAAAGUGGUGAGUUUCCUUUUGAAGAGGAAUUCUGCCCGCCCCCAUAUUUACAUGAGCCCCUCCUCCAAUGACAGGUGGAAUAUAAAGUGGCUCUUACAAGCAGAAUGAUGUAGGCUUUUCCAGGUCUUCCUUAUUUGUCACUGAGAAUGCCUGGACAGAGAGAUGAUUUCCCCUCCCCAGCACUUGCUCUUUGGUACAUCACUGCUCUGGGCAUUUGUUCAGGCAUGCCCAGAGCAGUGGGCAAAGAUUCUUUCCCACAAACUUGAUUCAGCAGAAAUAGGGGUGGAUCCAAAUCCUUCCUCUUUAUCCUGCCUGUUGGGACUGCAUAAAUAGAGAGAGAGGGUGAAGCUCCUGAAAGCCCAGAAUAUGUGACUGCAUAACCUCCAAGAUUACUCAGAUGAAAAUAAGGACAUUCAUCACUCCCCAACCCUACAAUUGACCCUCCUCGAUCCCCUUUUUAUUCUCCCCUAUGUAGUGCAUUUCCUGACAGAAGAACAGCCAGGGCCACCACACAGAAGACCUACUGUCCACUGUCAUGAGAAUUCCCCUUAAUGCCAUUUUUAUUUUAUUCUUUGAUAGACUUACAAAAAGAAAAACACAGGCAAUAAAUAAAUUUUUAAAAGUGGCAAGAUUAGAUGUGGACACACAAUUUUUUUUUUAAUUAAAAAAGAUCAAGACUUUUUAUGUUUUUUUAUUUUAAAAUUCAACUCUUCCCCUCCCCAGUGCAGUUCAAAUUGAAAGCUAGGAAAUGGUGUCAAUUGACUAUUCAGAUUUUUGCUUGAACUAUCCAGUUCAUUCCCCACAAACAGGAAGAAAUGCUAAUAAGAUUUCAGAUGAAAGUUUUUUCUGAGCCUACAUUCAAUUCCUUUCACUAUGUCUCUCUUGCACAGUACAGUGGUACCUCUGGAUGCAAACGGGAUCUGUUCUGGUGCCCCGUUCGCAUCCAGAAGUGAAUGCAACCUGCGUCCAUGCGUCUGCGCGUGUGCGGGUUGCGAUUUGCUGCUUCUGCGCAUGCGCGUGACAUCAUUUGGACCGUCUGCGCAUGCACGAGAGGUGAAACCCGGAAGUAACAUGCUCCAUUACUUCCGGGUCGUCGCACCGCACAACCCAAAAAUACUUAUCCCGAAGCUACUUCAACCUGAAGUAUGACUGUAAUACACAGCUGUGUCCUCAGGUUUAAGGCUGAGCGUAGUGUUUCCAGAUUACUUAAUUCCCAGUCCAGGAGGACCACAACAUGCUGGUGGCAGAAGCUGCUCCUGAAUAUCUUCCACUGUAAAUAGAAUUUUUGAAAGAACAGAAAUCUUGAAGGAAGUCUGAAGCCCUGUGAGAAAAAGAAAGGAAUGGGCAGGAUGAAUUUGCUUUGAAUGGGUUUACUGGGUUGGAACAAGAUAAUCACGGGACAACUCCCAACAGGCUAGAGAUGGGCUAAAGAAGAACAGAUGUUCCCUGUAGUAACAGCUAAUGUUGUUCCCUUGUUUUGUCUGCUCUGUCCUGAUAGAUUCUGGUUUGUGGUGCUUUGAUGCCCCCUCUGGAAACUUCACUAAUGGAAUGCAAUGAAGAGUUUUUGUCUAAGGUCUAAUGGGAAAUCUCUCACUGUGUCUCUUGCACAGUAAUACAUGGCUGUGUCUUCUGCUGCCAGGCUGUUCAUUUGCAGAUAGAGCAGGCUGUUUGAAUUGUCCCUGGAAAUGGUGAAGCGCCCCUUCACUUUCUCCAAGUAGCGAAUGUCAGCUGAAGCACCAGAUAUUUGUGCCACCCACUCCAAGCCUUUUCCUGGUGCUUGUCUCACCCAGUGCAUGUAAUAGCUGCUGAAGGUGAACCCGGAGGCUCGACAGGUAAGGCGGAGGGACUCUCCAGGCUUUUUUGUAUCCCCUCCAGACUCCACCAGCUGAAUCUCCGAUUGGAUGCCUAGAAAAAAAAGAGAUAUCAAUUAUCGCUUCUGCAUAUUAUUAGCAGUCUGGCUGUCCAACUCUUGUUUAUUUGAAAGGAUGGAUUUACCUCUAAAAACGGCUGAACAGAAAACAAGCUGAAGCAGAACUAUCAUUUUUGCCAUCUAAUGCCAGGAAAGGUUUGAACAAAUUCUGGCCCCACGUAUUCAGGGUCCUGUGGCUGAGGAAGGCAGGGUGCCUGGUGGAUUUAAAGAGGAAGCAAUCUCCAAUAAUUUGCAUAUGUAGUAAGGUAAAAGCACCACUACAGCUGUUGGGCAAACUAUGGUUCUGAGGGCAAGCCUAGUCUAUAUAACAAGCUAUUAUUUUCCAGUGUCUAGUUUAGCAGUUGUUACCACAGUAGGUUUGAAUAUUCCUCUUAGGAUCAAAGAGCAAAAUGGGGCUUGGGUAUUAGGUUGCCAUCUUUCUUUUCUUUUCUUUUCUUUUCUUUUCUUUUCUUUUCUUUUCUUUUCUUUUCUUUUCUUUUCUUUUCUUUUUGUCUUUCUUAAAGAUGGGGAAAUAAUGUUAUUGGCAUCUGGAAAUAAUAGAAUGAAUAAAAGCUGACACCACUUGAAAUAAAAAUCAUCUCGAACAAAAAUAUGGUUUCAAAGCUUUACUUACAGAACUUUCAUAGAAUCAUAGAAUUGUAGCUUGCUCCAAAAUAGACAGAAAACAAUGUUACAUCAAAUAGUUGCAUAAAACCAUGUGUUUCUCCAACCACAAGUUUAGCAUCUUAGUAAUAUAAAAUCACUCCAAACAGAGCUGGGGAAAAAAGCUCUUUCCACACCCAGACUCCAUUAGCCUGAAUUCCAGUCUGAAGCUUUUCUCUCCUGGAGAUACCUCAUUAGGAAACCUUACUUCUAUGGUGGCUUGAGCAAGGACAGAGGAAAGGCGGUGUGGUGGGGGCAGGCUGCCCUGGGUGUCACCACUGAGGAGGGUGAUAAAAUGCCGGGCGGCACUCACCGUGGGGCCUGCAGUGCACAAGCCACACGUCUCUCCUGGGAGUGACGCAGUGGCUUGGGUGCUGGCAGGCUCCGUAUUGCCACAAACGGUCCACCCGCUGCCUCCCCCUCAGCUGUAGGGCAGCUGAGUGGGAGGAGGCAGGCAGUGUCCUUGGAGGCCCCAUGGAGUAUCCUGCCCCGGCUCACUCCACCGCUGGGCACAGGACACGUGCACCGCUGCAGGCGCCCAAUGGGCUUGCUCUGCCGCUGGGCUUCAGAACAAAGGACAACUCCCUAAAAAUGGAGGUUUGCAACUGAAAUCAAGAUACAGGACCGUAUCCCAUAAGAACUGUAUUCCUGAAUAGCACCUCAAAUGCAGUGGUGGAGUUUCAUGCUCCAGCACCGGGGGGCAGAGAUCAGGCGGGGACAGGCCUGGCGCGCAUACAAAGGGCAUGGCGUGCCACCCGCAGGGGCAAGACGUGCGUCCUGGGGCCGUGGUACACCGCCUGUGGGGACUUGGCAGCCGUGAUGAUACCCCAACAGAAUUGCACUGCCAGGGGUGGUGCAUUCCCCCCCCCCGCACGCCUCUUCCUCCACCAGUGCUCAAAUGUUGUCACAUGGUGUGAUUCCUGAAAGCACUGGCAAAAUUACAGCAAGCACAAAAAUCCAGGAUGAUGGAAUUCCAAAUGGAUGUUUUUCUGGAAUACAUUAUCAUGGAAAUGAGUGCUAAGGUUCCACAGGAUUACACUAGAUUUACGGAAGUAGCUUUUGUGUCAUGUGAAAGAGAGAUCUCACCAGAGACAGAAACCAUGUGGAGUGGCACUGUGAUGUAUUGUGCACUUCACGUGGGAGUUGCCCCAUUGGUCCCUGUUUGCUUUUCUUCCCCCCUUGUUAACAAUACAUCCUCCUCUAGCACCUGCAUUCCAGCUGCAAAGGCUGCAAAGCAGGGCUUUUUGUACAAGCAGGAAAGCAGAGGUUGUCACUGUGUCUCUUGAACAGUAAUACAAGGCAGAGUCCUCAGGCUUCAAGCUGGUCAUUUGAAGAUAGGCUGAAGUUUGAGGAUUGUCUCUGGAGAUGGUGAAGCGUCCCUGAACCUUGGAAUUAUACCAUUGGCUACUUCCUGAACCACUUACUCCAGCCACCCACUCCAGUCCUUUCCCAGGAGCCUGACGAAUCCAGUGGAUUUCAUAACUAGUAAAGGUGAAUCCUGAAGCCUUACAGGAGAGGCGGAGGGAGCCUCCAGGAGCUACAGCACCUCCUCCAGUCUCCACCAACUGAACCUCUGAGUGACAGCCUGUAAAAUAGAAGAAAGAUAAUCAGGGGAUACCUGUGUAGAAAAGUGUGCAAGUCUGCAGGAUUUCCAGUGAGAGAAAUAUUACCUGGGAGAGCUGUCAAGAAGAGAAGGAAGUUUAACCAAAGAAUCAUGUCUCUUCUGUGUUGCGGAUUGUUUGGAUCACCUUCUUGACUGGCUCAGUCUUAGCUGGCUGGAGGUGGCAAGACUGAAUUGGAAAGGGUAGCUUUUAAGGCAGUGAUGUGGUUCAACUGAUUUGCAUGUGCUUUAUAUAAUAACCUCCUUCCCUCUUAAUUCACAAUUCUUUCCCAGCUAAAGGGCCACAAAGAAGAAGAAGAGCAAUUUACAUGUGGUGCUGUGUCCCCAUAGCCCUGCACGUCACGGCUGACCAAAAGACCACUCAAUACUACAGUGUAUGGUUCAAAUUAGGCGACAACUUUAUUGAAUGCAACUGUAAGGGGCCUGACUGCUAAUUGAUCCACACAGGGGUCAAACCAAUGUUGAGGAGGCCUUAUUACAUACAUCAGGUGCCACUUCAUAGAAUCAUAGAAUCAUAGAGUUGGAAGAGACCGCAAGGGCCUUCAAGUCCAACCCCCUGCCAAGCAGGAAACACCAUCAGAGCACUCCUGACAUAUGGUUGUCAAGACUCUGCUUAAAGACCUCCAAAGAAGGAGACUCACCACACUCCUUGGCAGCAAAUUCCACUGUCGAACAGCUCUUACUGUCAGGAAGUUCUUCCUAAUGUUUAGGUGGAAUCUUCUUUCUUGUAGUUUGGAUCCAUUGCUCCGUGUCCGCUUCUCUGGAGCAGCAGAAAACAACCUUUCUCCCUCCUCUAUGUGACAUCCUUUUAUAUAUUUGAACAUGGCUAUCAUAUCACCCCUUAACCUCCUCUUCUCCAGGCUAAACAUGCCCAGCUCCUUAGCCGUUCCUCAUAAGGCAUCGUUUCCAGGCCUUUGACCAUUUUGGUUGCCCUCCUCUGGACACGUUCCAGUUUGUCAGUGUCCUUCUUGAACUGUGGUGCCCAGAACUGGACACAGUACUCCAGGUGAGGUCUGACCAGAGCAGAAUACAGUGGCACUAUUACUUCCCUUGAUCUAGAUGCUAUACUCCUAUUGAUGCAGCCCAGAAUUGCAUUGGCUUUUUAGCUGCCGCGUCACACUGUUGGCUCAUGUCAAGUUUGUGGUCAACCAAGACUCCUAGAUCCUUUUCACAUGUACUGCUCUCAAGCCAGGUGUCCCCAUCUUGUAUUUGUGCCUCUCAUUUUUUUGCCCAAGUGCAAUACUUUACAUUUCUCCCUGUUAAAAUUCAUCUUGUUUGUUUUGGCCCAGUUCUCUAAUCUGUCAAGGUUGUUUUGAAGUGUGAUCCUGUCCUCUGGGGUGUUAGCCACCCCUCCCAGUUUGGUGUCAUCUGCAAAUUUGAUCAGGAUGCCCUUGCAGUCCAUCAUCCAAGUCGUUGAUACACAAGAACCACCAACUCAAGAAGUGCUAUGGUCCUACCCCCCGAUAUAUCCAGAAAUGCAUUUAUCUGGGGACAGCUUGCAUCAUUAUGGUAAAAAAAGACAUAUAGAAAGACAUUAUUUUAAGAGGGAACACUUUGUAUAUUGGUGAAAUUGCAUACAUAAAUGUAUAGAAGGGAGAAAAAUUGCACCAAGAUGCUGACAAGCUUUCAUGAGGACAAAUAAAAUAUUACCAAAACCAGUAGAGAAGCAGCACCAGAAUUGGUGACUCCUUCUUGUGAGAUCUCAUUAGAUCUUGCCGGAACUGGCCAUUAAACAUAAGUAAGGGUAUCUUUUGCUGGGGGCAGGCGGAAGAAGGUACAGCAGGAACACUUCCCAUUUCUCCAAAGGAGGUGAAAUGGGGUGCACUGCCCCUGUUGCAGCUGACCUAGGGAGUGUCCUCAGGUUUAAGGGUGUUCAUUUGCAGAUAGAGCAGGCUGUUUGAAUUGUUCCUGGAGAUGGUGAAUCUUCCUUUGACGGAAUCCAAGUAGUAAAUGUAAGAUGAACCAGUAGAUAUAUAGGCCACCCAUUCCAGUCCCUUUCCAGCAGCCUGCCGCACCCAGUUCAUCCUGCUGAAGGUGUACCCGGAGGCUCGACAGGUAAGGCGGAGGGACUCUCCAGGCUUUUUUGCAUCCCCUCCAGACUCUACCAGCUGAAUCUCCGAUUGGAUGCCUAGAAAAAAAGAGAUAUUAAUGAGCUCUUCUGCAUAUUAUUAGCAGUCAGGUUGCCCAAUUCUUGUUUAUUUGAAAGGAUGGAUUUACCUCUAAAAAUAGCUGAAAAGAAAACAAGAUGAAGCAAAGCUAUCAUUUUUGCCAUCUAAUGCCAGGAGAGGGUUGAGCAAAUUGUGGUCCCGGGUAUUCAGGGUCCUGUGGCUGAGGAAGGGAGGGUGUCUGAUGGAUUUAAAGAUGAAGCAAUCUCAAAUAAUUUGCAUAUGUAGUAAGGUAAAAGCACCACUACAGCUGUUGGGCAAACUAUGGCUCUGAAGGCAAGCCUCAGUCUAUAUCACAAGCUAUUAUUUUCCAAUGUACAGUUUAGUAAUUGUUCCCACAGUAUGUUUGUAUAUCGCUGUCAGGAAAAAAAGAGCAAAAUGGGGCUUGGCAAAGUAGAUAGCCAUCUUCCUUUCUUUUUCUGUCUUUCUAAAGAUGGGAAGAUAAAUUCACCUGUAAUGUGUGAAAUGGCUAAUAUCAAUGCCAUUUUUACACAAACCAGUCUCUCUGUUAACUUAUGUGUAUGCAGAAAAAUCCUAUUCUGUGCAGAGAUUUAGGAGAAAUUUGUGUUGUCCACUUUUCAGAAUAAUUCAACCAAGCAGAAUCUCUGGGACUUGCUUGUGGAUCAGAAGGCAACUCCCUAUGGCUUGUCCACACUUCCACUUGUCCUGUUCCUUGAAUUCAUGGGUCAGAAUGGUUUGCCUUGCUUUCUAGGCAUGAGUCUGAGCGGUUUUGCCUUUGUCCCACCACUUUCCCUGGAAAAACUGUUCUUAACAUUAAAUGCAUCUAUAUUGUCAUAAGUUUGGGAGACUUCCCUGAAAUACCUGGAUGCAGUAAAGUGUUAGGAAUUUCAGUAAAGUGUUAAAUUCUGGGUCUAGAGAGGCAAGCCUGGGCUGUGUGCAUGGAGGUCCUAGGCUGCCUGAAAAGGGUCAGAGAGGGUCAGACAUGAUAUUUGGGGUCUCUUGGCAAAAUUACAGCAAGCACAAAAAUCAAGGACAAGGGAAUUGAAAUUGGUUGUUUUACAUUAUCAUGGAAAUGAGUGCUAAGAUUCCACAGGAUUACACUUGAUUUACAGAAGUAGCUGUUGUGUCAUGAGAAAAAAUCUCCUCAGAGACAGAAAUCAUGAGGUCAGGAAACACUGGGAGAAUGGAAUGAAACACUGUCUGAAUGCAGCCUUAGAGAAGAACAGCGAUGUAUUGUGUAUUUCACAUGGGAGAUGCCUCACAGGGUUCCUGCUUGCUUUCUUUCCUGUCUUGUUGACAAUGCAUCCUCCUCUAGCACCUGCAUUCCAGCUGCAAAGGCUGCAAAGCAGGGCUUUUGUACAAGCAGGAAGGCAGAAGUUGUCACUGUGUCUCUUGAACAGUAAUACAAGGCAGAGUCCUCAGGCUUCAAGCUGGUCAUUUGUAGAUAGGCUGAAGUUUGAGGAUUGUCUCUGGAGAUGGUGAAGCGUCCCUGAACUUUGGAAUUAUACCAUUGGCUACUUCCUGAACCACUUACUCCAGCCACCCAGUCCAGUCCUUUCCCAGGAGCCUGACGAAUCCAGUGGAUUUCAUAACUAGUAAAGGUGAAUCCUGAAGCCUUGCAGGAGAGGCGGAGGGAGCCUCCAGGAGCUACAGCUCCUCCUCCAGUCUCCACCAACUGAACCUCUGAGUGACAGCCUAAAAAAAUGGAGGAAAGAACAUCAGUGGAAACCUGUGUAGAAAAGUGUGCAAGUCUCCAGAGUUUCCAGUGGGAGAAAUAUUAUCUGGGAAAGCUGUCAAGAAGAGAAGGAGGCUUAACCAAAGAAUCAUGUCUCUUCUGUGUUGCAGAUUGUUUGGAUCACCUUCUUGACUGGCUCAGUCUUAGCUGGCUGGAGGUGGCAAGACUGAAUUGGAAAGGGCAGCUUUUAAGGCAGUAAUGUUGUUCAACUGAUUUGCAUGUGCUUCAUAUAAUUACCUCCUUCCCUCUUAAUUCACAAUUCUUUCCCAGCUAAAGGGCCACAGAGAAGAAGAGGAGCAAUUUGCAUGUAGAGGUGCUGUGUCCCCAUAGCCCUGCAGGUCACAGCUGACCAAAAGACCACUCAAGACUACAGUGUAUGGUUCAAUUUAGGUGACAACCUUAUUGAAUGCAACUGUAAGAGGCCUGACUGCUAGUUGAUCAACACAGGGGUCAAACCAAUGGUGAGAGGCCAUAUGACGUACAUCGGUGGUUCUUCACAAGAACCACCAACUCAAGAAGUGCUAUGGUCCUACCCCUAUCCAUAUAUCUGCAGAAACUUGCAUCAUAAUGGUAAAAAGACAUAUAGAAACACAUUAUUUUAAGAGGGAACACUUUGUAUAUUGGUGAAAUUGCAUACAUAAAUGUAUAGAGGGGAGAAAAAUUACACCAAAAUGCUGACAAGCUUUCAUGAGGACAAAAAAAUAAUAAUUGCAAAACCAGUAGAGAAGCAGCACUAGCAUUAGUGACUCCUUCUGAUGAGAUCUCAUGAGAUCUCAUCAGAAGGAGUCACUAAACAUAGGUAAGGGUAUCCUCAGCCGGGGGCAAGCAGAAGAUGGCACAGCAGUAACCCUUCCCAUUUCUCCAAAGGGGUUCACUGCCCCUGUUGCAGCUGACCUAGCUGUGUUUAUUAUAGCUUGGACAGAGAGGCUCCUCAUAUGUAUACCUGGAUCUGUGGGUGAUUUGCGCUCUUUCCCUCCUUCCUCCACCAACUCUUUCGGUACACUGAAAACAAAGACCAUUAUUAUCCAAUGUUGAAAAACAUUAUCUUACAGCAGGGUCAACCCAGAAAGAUUUGAGCCAAAGAGGGCCUUGUCGCUCUUUAGAUUCACUUCCUCUCACUGUGGCUCUCUUGGACAGUAACACACAGCUGUGUCCUCAGGUUUCCAGUUGUUCAUUUGUGAAGAGAGCUGUCUGUUUGAACCAUCCCUGCAGAUGGUGAAUCUUCCUUUAAUAGAAUCCAAGAAGUAAACAGGAGGUGGAGAUGUGCUUAUUUUGGCCACCCAUUUGUGGCCUUGUCCAGGAGCCUUUCACACCCAGUCCAGUGGAGGGGAGACUCCAUGGGGCUUUUAAUGUCCCCUCCAGAUUCCUUGUGCUGGAUUUCUGAAUUGGCAGCUGGGAGGGAACCUGGAUGGUGUCAGUAGGGAGCUUCCUAGAUGUGGGUUGGGAAAUGUUGGACGGUAUGGUAUUGAUGAAGGUGGAGUGAACUUUGCUGUGUUCUGGCUUAGUGGGUAGGAACAGGAUGACCCAAUGGCAACUCACAACAAGGCUGGAUCUGGACCAAAGAAUAAAAGUUUUUCAGUAUUAUUAAUAGCUAUUGUGAAACUAUUAACAGUAAUAAUAUUAAUAGUAUUAAUAAUAAUUGCAUGACCAGGUGGCAACUUCCCCAGCCCCCAGGAACCACCAAAAGGAAGAAUGACUUGUGGCAACGUGUUAUGGAAUUAAAAUUUGGACACAACUUUAUUAAACUUUCAAGUGUAGGAAGACCUUGGCUUAGGCAUUGGGCGUGUGUCCUCCCAGCCCCCCAGCCGGGAGAACUGGGGCUCCUCAGGGUUAUUGGGAUAUGGGGGUGCUCUGCAAGAUGCAUGUGUAUGCAGGCAGCCCACCCCAUAUCCCUGCACGUAGGGUAGUUCACUGACAACCUUUCAGUGUAUGGCCAUUGACACCCAUAUGACAACCCCUUUGAAAGGGGACCCUGGAAUAACCACUGUCGUGGGGGGGUUAGUCACCACUCCCUCCCCCCAAUUUUACGUAGAAAAGACUAAAGGAUUCCGCCCAAGGACUUAAACCAUCAAAUUCGUCAAAGUUGUGACAAAUUGCUAUGGGAAGUCCAAACCUGCCAAUGCAGGAAAAUUUAUUCCCAGUUCUUCAACAGCAACCAGUCAAAACACCGUAGCAGUGCCCACUAAACAGGAAGAAAAUGGCUAACCUGCAAACAAGAAACAUUAAACAAAGGGAGGGUUGGGUGGGUGGGUGAAGUUCCUGACUGGACUGACUGGCCACGGUUGGCUCUACCCCCUAUUUAUAUGACUGGCCCCACCUCCCAGGAGUGUAAAUUGACUAACUGAGGCUGGCUGCGAACCUCCAAAGAAUAAUACUGAGAGGCAGGCCAGGCCACACAACCUGUAAGUUCCCUGGGGUCUGAAGUGCCGCGCGUGAUCCCACAAAGGGCACUCACCGUAUACAGUGUGAGUGCUCAUUAAUAGUAUUAUUAAUAGCUAUUGUUAAACAUCUUCCCUUCUGAUGUCAGCCCUGUUCUGUAAAUUUCUGUUUUGUGGUUCUGUGGUGCCCCCUCUGGGAACUCUUUACUAAAGUGAAUGCAACAAACGGUUGUUGUCUGUGUUGGUUUCUAUUUCCUUCACUGAGCAGCAUCUGCAGUCACAAGACAGGUGUUUACAUUCCACAGUCUGUACUGUUGGAGUUUCUCACGGGAAAGGGAGACUGGAUGUGACGUACACUGGUUUCCUGUUUUUCACUCUGUGAUUCUCUCCGAGCUGUGAAGGAGAGAGGAUGCAUUUUCUGCUCCUGCAGAGGCAAGAUGUCUUUCUGUAAUAUACCAGCUUUGAACUGUAAAUAAAGCAAUAUAGAGUAUGUAGCACGUAUUACUCAUCCUUCCGCUGGGCACGACAGGCUCUGCUUUAAAUCAACACGUGGUUAUGGACUCCAGAGGUCGAAUCGGAGUGCCGGCAAAGGAUCGGAAUGCAGAGGGACGGAUCGGAAAGGAAUCUGCUCUGCGCGUAGAAGUGAUUGAUGAGGUAUGUGCUACUGCUCCGGGCAGCCUGCCAGCUUCAAGUUAAUGGCUUUAUGGCUGGACUUUGAACUUUUAAAGCCGGUUUUGCCGGGAAUAGGCAAAAGGCUCCCAGGCACAAGUCACUAUGCUGGGGAAAUCGAAAGUAACUUUUAAGUGUGCCUUUGUGAUAAAGCAGCUGCAGCAGUGACGCAGCAAGAUUUAAAGCAGCAUAGAUAUGACGCUGAAGGCUAAUGCCAGAGUCAUGAUGGCCCUUCAGGAUGCUUGUGGGAUUCCUAAGCUCAACAAGAAAAAUUACAGCGACUGGGUUCAGUAUGCAGAGGCAAUUCUGCGGAAAGAGGGUUUGUUUGAGGUGAUUACAGGAACCCCCAGUUCCAGUUACAGAUGCAUGGGAAGCUAAGGAUUCCAAAGCAAGGGAACUCUUACAUUGAUAGUAUCCCCAGAAGAGCUCUGUCUAUUGCGUGAUAAGACCUCAGCCAGAGAAAUUUGGGACGCUCUGAGAGAGGCUCACUUAAGGACAGAAGCUGGAUCCACUAUGUUUUAUUUUAACAAGCUGCAUAAUAUGGCUCUUGCUGAAGGUGGAGAUGUGCGUUUACAUCUAAUGGAGAUGCAAAAUCUGAGACAUGAGCUGCAACAGAGAGGACUCAACUUUCCAGAGGCUGUGUAUUCUUUCAUGAUACUACAAUCUUUGGGUUCAGGUUGGGAGUCUGUUGCAACCCAGAUUGCUGUGCAACCAACUGCUCAGCUGACAGUGGACUUUGUUACUGCCGUGAUUUUAAAUGAAGCAGAUCGCCGGGGUGCUAGCUGCAUGGGCAAGGGAGUCUUCACAGACGUCAUCCCAUAGUGCAGUGGAACCACCAGAUGGCGCCAAAGCUUUGAAGGCAGUGAAAUGCUACUCGUGUGGACGUCUAGGCCAUAUGAAGAGGGAAUGCAGACAUCCCAGGGCCAAGACAGAGCAGCGCAGCGAAGCUCAUCGCGCGGAAAGGCCGAGGCAAAGGCAAGGUCCGGUGUCUAGGACAACGCAGCACAAGGCUAUGGUUUCACGCUUCACUCCAAAGGUUGCAGAGGUCCAGAAGACGUCUAGAUCUUUCUUCGUUGUUGAUUCAGCGGCCACCCACCACAUGUGCAACGAUAAGAAACUGUUUGUGUCUUUUACACCGCAGGAAGGUGCGAUUCACCAGGCGGAUGACCACACUAUUCCCAGUAAAGGCUACGGAACUGUUGUUCUUCACAGUUUGGACUUAUCGAUACAGAAUGUGCUUUACGUGCCAGACGCCAAACAUAAUCUGCUCAGCGUUGGACAGCUGAAUGAGCGGAACAUUGACGUUUCCUUCAAGAACAAGAAGUGCAUCAUCACAAAGAAAAAUGAUUAUGUAUUGCAUGCAGAAUAUGUUGAUCAUUUGUUUGUUUUGUAUUAUGAUGAUGUGGUGCAGGAUGACACUUGUUGCAUUGCAGGUUCUAACAAAAGUUUGCAUGCAGAAUGUAUUCACGAUUUUCAUCGAAAAUUUGGUCAUUUGCAUUUUGAGGCAGUAUCUAAAAUGCCUGCCUUGGUUGAAGGUAUGACUAUUAAACCCUGCAGGUACCACAUGAAGUGCAAAGCAUGCGCAGCAAACAAGGUGAAAAUGGCUGCGAAAGGUAAGGUGUCUAGUAGGAAAGCUACAGAACCAUACCAGGUUGUUCAUGCUGAUUUGGUUGGACCACUAACGCCCUCUUUGGGUGGAAAUAGAUACUUCAUGGUUCUCAUUGAUGCAUUUUCUAGAUAUAUUUUUGUGUACAAUCUCAAGCAGAAAUCGGAGGCUUUUCCUAGGUUCAAGGAAUUCUGUGCUUGGUUGGAAAAUGUGCAUGGUAAGAAGAUAAAGACUCUUUUCAGUGAUCGCGGGGAAUUCACUUCUCAGCAGUUUGAAGCUUUUCUGACUGAGAAAGGAAUUCAACACGAUUUGUCUAGUCCUCGCUCGCCAUGGCAGAAUGGACUUGCGGAGCGGGCAAAUCAGACAUUGCUUCAAGGGUUAAAGACCUUGCUGCAUGAUGCCAAUCUUCCAGAGAGUUAUUGGGCCGAAUCUCUCUCGUGUUUUGUUUACAGUUACAAUCGCAGGUUAUCUUCAGCGAUUGGUUGUACCCCUAUGAGAAGAUGUUUGGCAGAAGCCAUACAUCAAACACAUGAAGAUUUUGGUUCUGACAUGUGGGUUCGCUCACCACAAAACUCCAAGUUAGACAAGCGUGGAUUGCAUGGUAUCUUUCUAGGUUAUCAGAAAGGGUCUUACAGAAUAAUGAUGACUGACUCUAAGACAAUUAAGCUCACGAGAAGUGUUGAGUACAAUGCAAAGUGGGGGAGAAUGUGGGAAUUUUCCAAUGUUAUCCUGAUGACGGUGAUGAGACUGAGGAUAGUCAAAAGCAACCACAACAGCCCACACCCACUGAUGAAGGUUCUGAGUCUGAAUCUGAAACUGAAUCGGGUGAUUCAGAGGAUUUCGAGAGUGCGAAAGCCUCUAUGCGACCCUCUGAAAGCUCUGAUCAAGAAUUGGAGGAACCAUUGUUCACAAUAGGUCGUUUUUCUCCUAAGAAGGAAGAGGAGAGUGUUGAAGACUUAAGGCUAAUUCGUAGGUCACAGAGAGCCACAAAAGGCAAACCUCCAAAGAGAUUUGCUGAUGAGUUUGCUAAGAUAGCAGUAACAGCUGUUAAAAGCUCCAAGAAGGUAUUUGAACCUUCAAGUUUCCAAGAAAUCCAGGGUUUGGAUUCAAAGGAAGCUGAGCCAUGGUUAAAUGCCAUGAAGGCUGAGCUUGAUUCCUUAGAAAGGAACAAAACAUGGGAGCUAGUUCCAGUAGUUCCAGGAAUGAAACUGCUUGGAAGCAAAUGGGUCUUCAAAGCGAAGACAGAUCAAAAUGGCAAGAUAGUCAGACACAAAGCCAGAUUGGUAGCCAGAGGUUUUGCACAGGUACCAGGUGAAGACUAUCACGAGACCUAUUCACCCACAGUGAGAUAUGAAAGCAUUAGGCUUAUGCUCAAGCUAGCUGCAGAGGAAAAUCUACACAUUAGUCACCAUGAUAUUAAUACAGCUUUUCUGUACGGAUCUCUAGAUGAAUCACUUUAUAUGCUUCCACCUGAUGGCGUACAGGUAAAACAGGGAUUUGUUUGUGCUCUGAAGAAAUCCCUUUAUGGUCUCAAACAAAGUGCACGGUGUUGGCACACAAAACUCACUGAAGUAUUGUUUUCUCUAGGUUUUCAGCAAGGAAAGCUGAUCCAUGUGUAUUUGUCAAAGAGGAGGGGCAAAAGAAACUGUACUGUUUGUUUUAUGUUGAUGAUUUAUUAUUCUUUUGGAAAGAUGUUGCAAUGUACAAUAGCGCCUAGCUCAACUGAAAGAGCACUUUGACAUGAAAGAUCUUGGUGAGGUAAACAACUACCUAUCUCUGGAAAUAGAGAGAGAUCAAGAUGGUAACAUUCUAGUACACCAGUCACGGAAAAUUGCUGAUGUGUUAAGCAAACUAAAUCUGAUGGAUGCUAACCCUGUAGACACACCGAUGACAACAGGUUAUCAGGUAGAUGACACUGAAGAAGCAUUUUCUGACACUACACUGUACAGGAGUGUGCUAGGCAAGCUAAACUUCAUUGCCAGAUGUUCAAGACCAGACAUUGCUGUUAGCUGUAAUUUGCUAAGCAGACAAGUCAACAAUCCUAGUGUCAAGGAUUGGAAAGCUCUGAAACGCAUAGCGCGGUAUUUGAAAGGCACUAUGCAUUACAGACUGAGAUUUAACAAUCAGAAGUCUGGUGGUCUUGAGAUAUUUGCAGAUGCAAGUUUUGGAAGUGACACUACAGACAGGAAAAGUACGUCUGGAGUUUGCUACAUGUACAAUCAGAGUCUGUUUGAUUGGUCAUGCAAGAAGCAAACAACAGUUAGCUUAAGUACUUGUGAAGCUGAACUGAAUGCACUGUCUUAUUCACUUAAGGAUUGUGAAUGGUUAGUACAAUUGUGCAAAGAUAUGAAAAUUCCUGUCAAAUGUCCAAUCCAGGUUUACCAGGACAACAAAGCAUGUUUGGCUUUGCUGAAGUCUGAAGGUUGUAAGCAAAGCACAAAGCACUUACAAUUAAAGUUGCAGCAUGCUAGGGAAUGUAUUCAGAAGGGACUCGUAACGGUGUCCUAUAUGCCAGGUAAUGAAAUUCCUGCUGAUGUAUUGUCCAAGAUUGUAUCAAGGGAUCAACACUGUACCUAUGUGCAGAAGUUGGGUUUGUACUGAUAUUGUGCGAACACGCUGCCCAGUGAUGUUCACAGAAAGGGGGAGGAUGUUGGUUUCUAUUUCCUUCACUGAGCAGCAACUGCAGUCACAAGACAGGUGUUUACAUUCCACAGUCUGUACUGUUGGAGUUUCUCACGGGAAAGGGAGACUGGAUGUGACGUACACUGGUUUCCUGUUUUUCACUGUGUGAUUCUCUCCGAGCUGUCGAGGAGAGAGGAUGCAUUUUCUGCUCCUGCAGAGGCAAGAUGUCUUUCUGUAAUAUACCAGCUUUGAACUGUAAAUAAAGCAAUAUAGAGUAUGUAGCACGUAUUACUCAUCCUUCCGCUGGGCACGACAGGCUCUGCUUUAAAUCAACAGUCUGAGGUCUAGUGAGAUUUGUGUGUCUUGCACAGUAAUACAAUGUCUUCUGCUUUCAGGCUUCUCAUGUGCAGAUAGAUGGAAUCUGGAGCUACCAUCCGAAACCAAGAGUCACAUUUCUAUUGCAGAAGAAUAGCAAUUGACCUCAGAGCUAUUAUACCAAAAGGGCCAUUCCAAUCCUUUGCCAAGUUUCUGCCUGAUCCAGGAAUUACAGUACCUGUUAAUAUCAAGCCCAACAGUGGCACAGAUCAGCUCCUGGCUUUGCAGAAGUUUGUCAACACAAGAGGGGACAAUAUUAAUACUGGCUCAUAAUAGGGAGAUACACUGGGCCACCAAAGUAUGGCAAAUAGCACUUGUGGAAAAAUUAAUUUAAAAACCUAGCAUGAAGACUGUUUUGUAACUGUUCACUUUCACUGUAUUAUGUAAAAAUGAAAACAGAUGACUUCCCUCACAUUAUAAAAGGUUUUUGUUUAACAUAAAUCAUUUAUCACCUUCUAUACGAAUGGUAAUCUGAGAUAAGAAAUUAUGUUAUUUGGAUAUUAUGUUCAUGUAUUGCCUAAAACACCAACCUCUGGGUUAGGGUAGGAUAUUUCAUGUAUAUGAUGUUGCUAUAUCUUACAUGCACAGAACAGAAAACAGAGAUUCUGUUUCUGAAAGACUUUCCCCUUUUGUAUAUAGCCCCAAGAUAGCUUGUCUCACUUUGUGUUGAUUUUCAUUUCACAUGGUUUUGACAUACUUAUUUAUUGAUCGUCAUUUAUUAGAACCACAUUUCUGCAUUCAAAAUCAGUUUCCUCUUUUUGUACACAGCACCAAUUGUUGUGUCUCACUGUGUAUUGCCUGGCACAAAAAUAUACUGCAGAGUUGGCAGCUGCCAGAGUUUUCAGCUGGAAAGAAACCUCAUUCUUGGAAGAAUCUGAAGAAAUGGAUAUUCGGCUCUUCAGAGAAGGGGCAUACCACUUAGUCCCAUCAUAGGGGUGUACUGCUACAAUCCAUUCUAGACCUUUUCCAGCAGCUUGACGGAACCAGUGCCAGACAGACUGCUGAGUGGAGAUGGAGAAACCUGUGACUUUACAGUGCAAGCUGAGGGCCUCUCCUGGUCUCACCAUUCCUGGCCCAGAUGAUACAAGUUGAACAUCUGAGAAGACCCCUUGGAAACAGAGAAGAUUUCAAUGAGUGUUUGAACGUCACGUAAUCACCACUUGAAAUACACUAAUAUUUUGAACUUCCCACAGAAUUUGCGCUUACCUUUUGUAAUGGCCAUCAAUGACAACAAGAACCACAAGAACUUCAUGGUAUUAAGAAAAUAAUGUGCUAGAAAGGUAGGAAAGAUGCGGCUUUGGGUUGGGGAGAAAGGAACAAUUUAUAUUGAAGGAAAUAACACCUGUCCCAAGAAUCCCACAGUCUCCCUGAGGAAUUUGCAUGAGCCCUUCCUUCAACAAGGAGCCAUAUAUAAAAGAGCUGGUAAAAUCUGGGUUAGUGUCAGGGUAAGUUCCUGCCUGCCUUCCAUUGGUAUCAUCUCCUAGUAGCCAAGCUCCCUUCUGGCCCCCCAUACAAUAUCUGAGGGGGCUGCCCCCCAAGUGGAUGAAUACCCUGCAAAUCAAGUGCCUCUCUGUCAAGUGCACUGCCUUGCUACCAGGAUUAAGGGUGCCAGCAUGCGAGAUGUGUGCAAGUGAUGUCAGCAUGCUGCACAGUGUGCUGGUGUCAUGCACACACAUUGUAUGCCAUGCCCAUGCUGUGCUCAAACAUGGUGCAUCAUUGUUACCUCAGUCGCACAUGCUGAAUGCUGUGCACCAUGCCAAUGUGUUGUGCGCACUCUGCAUGGGCUGCAGGAUUAAAGUGAGCAUGUUGUACAUCAUGCAUGCACGGCUGAUGCAUAUUGGGGGGGGGACUGGUUCCCUUGAAAACUUGGGGGCCCUCAGCCCCUCGCUCUCCCCCUCUUAGAUGGCACGUAUGCUUUCCAUGCUCUCUGCUUGGAGCAGCCAAGAGUUUCCUGCUGUUUGGUUCCAAAAGGGUUAUUAGCAGCAGCAGACUGGAAGGGGAGACGGAAGAGAGACAAACUUCUGUUUUCUCUGCUUCCUAGCUCUGCCUCUCUUGCUGGCAAACUUGUGCCACCCAAGAGCCACAUUCCAUUAUUCUGCCACCUUCGGUGUGUCACAUGCCCCUGGUAUAUUGAGACACAGGCAGAAGUAGUAGAGCAUCAAAUGUAAAAUUUCCCUUUAUUUGGUAGACCAGUUUCUACCCACACCUCUCUCUCUGUGGUCUUUCCCAAUUGCAUUUCACAAUACAAUUUUCAUAAUUUGGCUUAUAGAAGGAACCACUCUGUUAUGUUCAUAGAAUUCAUAUAAGGUGAGGGGCUGUGAAGGAAGGACAGUUUUUGCCUGCCUUCAGUUUCACUUCUUCUCACUGUGUCUCUUCUUGCACAGUAAUACACAGCUGUGUCGUCUGCUGUCAGGCUGUCCAUUUGCAGAUAGAGAAGGCUGUUUGAAUUGUCCCUGGAGGUGGUGAAGCGCCCCUUCACUUUAUCCAAGUAGUAAAUUUUAGAUGACCUUUCAGAUAUAGAUGCCACCCAUUCCAAGCCUUUUCCUGGUGCUUGUCUCACCCAGUACAUGACAUAGCUGCUGAAGGUGAACACAGAGGCUCGGCAGGAGAGGCGGAGGGACUCUCCUGGCCUUUUCAUGUCCCCUCCAGAUUCUUCUAGUCGGACCUCUGAUUGGAUACCUAGAAAGGAAGAGAUCCUAAUGAGACAUUUUGCACACCGUCAAUUGCCAGAAUAUCUAAUUCUUCUUCAUUUGAAAUAAUGGAUUUAUCUCCAACAAUUGCUGAAAAGAAAGCAAGAGGAAGUAAAACUAUCAUUUCCCCUGCCUAGUGCUUGAAGAGGGUUGAGCAAAACCUGGCCCCAGCAAUUCAGGGACUUGUAGUUGAGGAAGAUCGGAUGUUUGCCUGAUUUAAAGAGGAAAUGGUGAGUGAAAAUUUGCAUACCUAUCAAUAUAUAAAAGCAUUACUAAAACCCUUUGGCUCUGAAGGUAAGCUUGGGAUUUGAAAUGAGCAUGUUAUUUCCUAAUGUACAAGUUUAGCAGGUGGGAGCACAACAGAUUUACAUAUCCUUCUCAGAAUAAAAGAGCAAAAAGUAUCUCUGGAGCAUGAAUUUGUUUGGUCUACUACUCAGACUCAACCAUCCCAACAGCCUCGCUUGGACUUGCUUGCAGAUGGAAAGGCAACUCCCAGUCAGAUCGCACACUAUUCCAGAUUUUGCUCAGCAAAAUCUACAGGUCCUGGAUGACUGGUAGCUCUAUGAAUGCUUCCACCUGCUUCUGGAGGCAUCAUGAGGCAAAUGAAAUGGAAAGUAGUGGACCCAAAUAUACCAUGAAAUAUGGAGGCAUCAUGAGGCAAAUGAAAUGGAAAGUAGUGGACCCAAAUAUACCAUGAAAUAUAUUAUGAAAUGAAAACAUUUUCAUGAUACAAUAAGAUAAAAGGAACAAACGGGGAGAAAAAAUACAAAGAAAGAAAGCAGUGCUGCUGCUGCCAAGUUCAGGGAGGAUGCUGAGCCAGCGCUUCUCUUGAGUGACGGCGGCUGUGGCUGUGGCAGCUGCAAUGGAGCAUCCUGUUGCCUUUCCAUGGCAUCUCCAUGGCUGCCGCCUCUAACCUCUCUUGGGCAUCUCAUAGCAGCUACUGGAGAGAAGGAGGAGAUAUACUGUAGUGGCCACUGAGGCUCAGCUCUGUGUGACACAGUGACUCUGAGGGAUAGGUAGAGAGCAGGGCUGCCCUGGAAAGGAAGAAAGGGAGCGAAGUGGAGCACAGAGUCUUUAUUUUCUUUUUAAAAACAUGCCUUCUGUUUUUGCCUCUAAUCUUGAUCCUUUCUUAAAUUUAUUUAUUGGCGUGUGCUUUUCUUUUUGUAAAUCUACCAGGGAAUUAAAUCAAGAUUAAGGGGGUUUCCCGGAGUGGUGGAGGGUGUGUGUGCUGUUUAUUGUUGGGGUAUAAAAAAUGCUUAGGGAGGGGGGACCCAAAAAUGGAGAGUCAAGUUGACGGGGAGUGAGAAAUGUCCCUAUUUUCAUUUGAGGAAUGUUGGAGGGUAUGGCUCUAGCAAUCGGGUUGCUCCUUUGGGACAUGACAUAUUCCUGGGGAUGCACUGAUACAAGGUCCUUGUUGCUGGCCUCUCUUCCAGAUCCACAUGUGCAAGGAAUUCAGCCCUACUCAAGCAUUCAAAGCAAUUGGGGGUGGGGGUUAAAGUAUGUAGAGGGAGUACGGAUGUCUGUGCAGCCCACCCCCAUGCCUUGGUCUCCACCACCCUCGUGCUUCGGAAAGAGGAAUUUAAGCAGGUUUGGCUGAACAUGUUUAUAGCCCUUCCCGUGAUCAGGAAUGCCACAGUAUCAACCAAAUACACUUACACACCUACUUCAGACCUUCCUACUCAAUAUGGAAAGAUAGCAGAACAGCGGGAAGGGAUGGAGCAUAUUUCAUCCUCAUUCCAUGUGUUUCAGAACACCUGAAGAGGGUCACUGUGUCUCUCACAACUGGUCCACGAUACUCCAAGAGCACAGUUCAAAUCCAAGGAUAAACAAUGGGGCCAGCUUCCAAUUAAGGUUUUUGCUUGAACUAACCACUUCAUUUGCUGCAACCAGGAACAUUUUUUCUAAUAAGUUUGCAAAGGAAAGUUUUUGUCUGAGGUUAGAUUUACUUCCUCUCAUUGUGUGCCUUGCACAGUAAUAAACAGCAGUGUCCUCUGGUUUCAAGUUGUUCAUUUGCAAAGACAGCUGGCUGCUUGAAUCAUCCCGGGAAAUGGUGAAUCUUCCUUUGACAGAAUCCGAGUAGUAAGUGGGAGUUGAAGAUGUACCUAUAAGGGCCACCCAUUCCAGGCCCUUUCCAAGAGCUUGUCUCACCCAGCUCAUUGCAUAGCUCCAGAAGUUGAACCCAGAGGCUUGGCAGGAGAGGCGGAGGGAAUAUCCAGGCCUUUUGACACCCCCUCCUGAUUCUUUGAGCUGGAUUUGUGACUGGACACCUGAAAGAAAGACCUACAAUUAAACUGUGGGUUCAUUAUCCACUAUAAUAUAACAGUUUGCCUAUAUGAAAGAAGAACAAAUACCUUUGAGUAUUACUAAAAGGAAAACACCUGGAAGCCAAGGUGUCAUUUUCCCUUCUUUUACUAGGAGAAGGGUUAAGAAGAAAGUGGCAACCCAGGCAGGACACACAGUGGUUGUUUGAGUGGGUAUCACAGGGGCAGGGAACGUAUAUGGCAGGUUCAAACAGGAAGCUGCCUAUGAAUUUGCAUACCUGUCGGAAUAAAAGAGCAGCACAGGCCUUCAGCAACCCAAUCUCAAAAGUCAUAUGUGUGACUUUGGGCUAUCAAAGAAUUGCUGCUGAUUUGCCUGGUGAGGAACAGAGUGGGGAAGUUGGCUCAAGGUAUUUAAGUAAAACUGAAUGGAAUCUACGAAUGAAACUGCUUGCAGAAUCUCUACUCCUGGUGCUUUCAACCAGGACACUCAUUAAAGAUAGUUUAAUAUCCAGCCUUGGGACAUAAUAUUCCAAGAGACUAAGAUCAACAUACGCCAACCUGGUCCCCACUGAUCAUUGUGGACUAUAAUUCCCAUCAGCUCCGGCCAACUCAACCUCCUUCCCCACCCCCCUCAAAACAGAGAGAAGUUUGGCUCAUGUUACAUUGAAUAAGCUUCUGCUGCAGAACAUCUGGCAGAUGACAAGGAAGUGCCUUGGCUGAAUUUUUAUCAGUUGUUUUUCAUUUUGGUGAUUGAAUUAUCAUUUCAAGUUAUUUUUAGAAACUUUGUCAUUUAUUGCCAUUAAAACCACCUUACAUUAGAACUAUUGCUCAGUAUUGUCACUGCUUUUCUUCUUCUAAAAAUAAUGUUUAGGGGUACUCACAUUUUCCUACUGAUAUUGAAAUACUGCCCCUCAAUGAUGCCAAACUUAGAUUCACAAAAUGUUUAGGGGUAUGCAGCCCCCCCAAGAAAAAAAGCACUGUGUAUUGUUAAUAUAAUAAUAAUACCUUUAUUGUCAAUGUACAACCUGUAUACAAUGAAAUUAACCAAGCCUAACCAAGCCUCCCCCCAAAAAAAACACUCAAUCUCAUUGCACUCUGUUUGCUUAUCACACAACACACCACCUCAUAAGUCAGUUGUGCUAUGUUAUUUUCUGUUCAACACCCUGACAGCCCACGGAUAGAAACUAUUUUUUAGCCUGUUGCUAUGACUGAUUAUACUUCUAUAUCUCCUGCCCGAGGGUAGAAGAUUAAAGAGGUGCUGGCAGGGGUGUGAGUCAUCGCUGAAAUUUUUUUUUGUUCUCCUAAGGCAAUGAUGCCCUGCAAUGUCAUCUAGUGGACUCAAGGGACAGCCCAUGAUAUCAUGUCUUGUAUUCACCACCGUUUGUAGAGACUUUCUGUCCGUGGCUGUCAAGCCAGCAUACCACACUUUGAUACAAUAUGAAAGUUAAUAUAAUAGUUAUAUAAUAGUUAUUGCAUAAUGUCUUCCUUGGUUAUUUCUGCUUUGUGGGUUUCUUAUUCAUGGUUCUCUGCUGCCCCCUUUGGGAUCUCUUUACUAAUGUGAAUGUGGGGAACAGGUUUUUUUCCCCUUAGGUCUUCUGGGAUGUCUCAUACUGUUGUCUCUUCCACACUUCCACUUGUUUCACCACUUUCCCCCAGGAAAACCUGCUGUUUACUGUUGAAUAGGAGCAAACGUCAAUGGGGUUUUCUUCUGUGGAAUGACAUUUGUGGUAAAAAAUGGAAUUCCUUUGGGAAAGUGGUGUGGCCAACCAGACACACCUCAUACUGUUGCCUCUUCCACACUUCAACUUGUUUCACCACUUCACCGCAGGAAAAGAUCAAUGGGGUUUUCUUCUGUAGAAUGAUAUUUGUGGUAAAGAAUGGACUUUCUUUGGGAAAGUGGUGUGGCAAACCAGAAUUGCACCCCUUAGUCCUAUGCCUAGAAAGCAUGGGACACGCAGAAAACCUCUUAGACCCAUCCUUUCUAAGUGCUGGACAAACAGAAGUGUGGACAAGCCCCAUGCCUCUCACACAGUAGUACAAGGCCGUGUCUUCUGCUCUCAGACUGUUCAUCUGCAGAUGGAAGUUGGAGUCACCUUUAGAGGCCCAUAAUUGAACUUGCAUUGCAGAAGAAUAAAAACUGUACCCAGGAGUGGGAUCAUAAUACCAAAUAAGCCAUUCCAAUCCUUUGCCAGGUUAUUUCCAGCAUCUGCUCUGAAGGAGCUUCUGGGGUUUUUGUACAAGCAGGAAAGCAGAAGUUGUCACUGUGUCUCUUGCACAGUAAUACAGGGCAGAGUCCUCAGGCUUCAAGCUGCUCAUUUGCAAAUAGGCUGAGGUUUGAGAAUUGUCUCUGGAGAUUGUGAAUCGUCCUUGAACUUUGGAAUUAUAUAAUUGUUUGCUUCCAGAAGGUCUGCUAACUUCAGCCACCCACUCCAGUCCUUUCCCAGGAGCCUGACGAAUCCAGUUGAUAGCAUAACUAGUAAAGUUGAAUCCUGAAGCCUUGCAGGAGAGGCGGAGGGAGCCUCCAGGAGCUACAGCACCUCCUCCAGUCUCCACCAACUGAACCUCUGAGUGACAGCCUAAAAAAUAGAAGAAAGAGCAUCAGGGUAUACCUGUGAAGAAAAGUGUGCAAGUUCCCAGAGUUUCCAGUGAGAGAAAUAUUACCUGGGAGAACUGUCAAGAAGAGAAGGAGGUUUAACCAAAGAAUCAUAUUAGUUUGGAUCACCUUCAUGACUGGUUCAGUCUUAGCUGGCUGGAGGCUGCAGGACUGAAUUGGAAAGGACAGCUUUUAAGGCAAUGAAGUGGUUCAACUGAUUUGCAUGUGCUUCAUAUAAUUAACUCCUUUUCUCUGAACUCUUAAUUCACGUUUCUUCCCCAGCUAAAUGGCCAUAGAGAAGAAGAGGAGCAAUUUGCCUUUGUUGGCAAUGAUUUUGGGGGUGAGCCUUCCUUAUUGGGUGAAUCUCACCUGGCAGCAAGUGGAGGUGUGUAGUUUUCAGAUGAGAAAGUGUAACCUUUCAUCAAUGUUCAUUAUGGACAGUUUGUUCCAGAGCAGCUCCUCAGGAUUGAGUCAAAGGCUCCUUUUAGGUCCAGGAACGCUGUACAAAGUUUUUGAUUAAGAACACUAGAGUUUAUUUAAACAUAUAUACAACCUGAGCCUGUGAUGGAGGGGCUCACAACAUUGACACCUGAAGAGGAUAUUACUUCUCCCAUAACUGUACAGAAUCUAAUCCAUCAUCCCAGUUGAUGUUUAGCUCCAUACAUACAUAGGUAACAUGAGAACCUUUCCCCAGGGAAUGCUUUUGCUCAAUUUUUACAGUACCUCUUUAUUAUUCUCAUUGAAUUCUUAAUUUCCAUUGGGUUUGCAAGCUUGCUUGCUUGCUUGCUUAUUUAUUUAUUUAUUUAUUUAUUGUGAUUCAAUAGAACAAACUAUCUUUUCAUAGAAAUGAUAGGUUCCAGCAUGGAAGCAUCUCAUACAUUUUCAUCUUUGCUAAGGAAGCAAAACCAUUAUAUUUGGCUGGAUGCACAGAAACAUAUAUCUGGAAUAGCCUGACACGGGAAUCGAGUCCACCAUCAUGAUUACCUGCAUACAUACAGAAUACAUGAGAACCUUUACCUAAUACAUGAGAACCUUUACCUAAAAAAGCCUCAAUAUUUCUUUAAUUUUCUCAUUGAAUUCUUUUGCAUUGCGUUUGCAAAGUAAUUUAUGCAUUGUGAUUGAAUAGAAUCAACUUUCUGCAUUCAGAAUCAGUUUCUUCUUUUUGUUCAGAGUCCCAAUUGCGGUGUGUCACUGUGCUAUCUCAAGCACAUAAAUACACGGCUGAGUCUGCAGCUGUCAGGGAGUUCAGUUGGAAGGAGAACUUGUUCUUGGAGUUGUCUGAAGAAAUGGUUACAUGGCUCUGAAGAGAAGAAGCAAACCAUUUCCCCCCAUUAUAGGGGUAUAUUCUUGCAACCCACUCUAGACCUUUGCCAGCAGGCUGACGGAUCCAGUUCCAAACAGAACUUGAAUCAGUGAUGGAGACACCAGUAACUUUACAGAGCAGACUGAGGUUCUCUCCAGGCCUCACUGUUCCUGGACCAGAAGAUACAGAGCUGAACAUCAGAAAGGACCCUUGAAAGAGAUAACUAUAAUGAAUUGAUCAUCAUCUAAUGAACAUCAUCUAAUCACUGCAUGGAAUCAACCUAUAUUUUUGAACUUCCCAUAGAAUAUACACUUACAUUUGUGAAAGGUCACCAAAGAAAACAAAAACAGCAGGAACUUCAUGGUUUUAACAAAGAAGUGUCCUAGUGAGGCAGGAAAAAGGAGGAUUUGGACAUGGAAGAAAGUCAGUAAUUUAUACUGAGGGGACCUCUUUUGCUGAGAGUUCCUCAAGACCACCUCCAGCCUGCUUGAGUGAUUUGCAUGUGUCCUUCCUUAGCAAGAUAUGCUAUAUAAAGGGACUGUGAGAAACUGGGCUGAGGUCAGGGCUGGCCUGCUUUCCCCUCAGGUGUGUUUCCAAUAUGUUAACAAACAUGUUUACUGUAAAAUCAGUUGCGUGGCGAUACCCGCCCCCUCCCACAGAUGGAAUAAAUAAAGACACAGGACACCAGAAUUUAGGUUAAUGGGAGAAAAAUGGCCACAACUUUGUUGAUUACAGGUAAGAGCGGUAUUGACUUUAGGCAUUGGCCCUAUCAGACUAACCGGUAUAACCGGGAAGGGUUAAGCACCAACAAGGGGAGCCCCCGAGAUGCACAUCCCUAGGCGCUCCCCGAGGGGUUACCGCUCGGGAGCGUGCUUUAGGCCCUAGCCUCCAUAGGUUUCGGACGAGUCGACGCCCCCCCCGGAGUCCUUUAACGAACUACCCUUCAACAUUUGGGGGAGGUGAUGGCAUUCCUCUCCCCAUCUCAUUUGCAUAAUAAUACCCCUGUCAAUGCCUAACCGCCCAAACCAAAGGUGUUGUGACAUUUUGCUAUGAGGUAGGCGAAAAAACCAAGUGGCUUCCAAAAUAUAGCCAAUUAGCCAAAUGGAAAAACUCCUACCAGGCCCCUUGCGGCGACCAGCUGAAGCCCAUAGCAAAGUCCAGAUGAGAACCUAAAGGGCGGGAGGGUGGGAAACCGCAGCUGCUGAAAGAAAAGAAAGGGGUAAGCAUGGGCUGCCCCGACCUUAAAUGCCCCUUACAAGUACCGCCCCCGCCGCCAGCCAAUUGGCUGGAGCAGUGAAUGAUGAAUCUUAAUGACCCCGGGAUUCCCCAAGUCCCGCGGGGCUGCAGCCAGCCCCGCGAGGGUGUGAAUGGGGCGUGAGUCCCCAACCCCCCCCUCCGUAUGUCAGGAGUGGCUUAUUAUAGAUUUUGAAGCACAUAAUUUUCAAGAAAUCAUGCUUUGGAUAUCUGCCUUGCUUUCUGAACCAUUUUGUUAGCUACAGUUCUUUUAAUGUCAACUGUCCAGCCAAUUCAGAAGAAGGGGCCAAAGAAGGGGCUUUAUGAGAUCACUUAGAAGGAUUUCAGUCAAAGGUCCACUCUGAAUGAAUUGAAGGAUAAGGCUCUUCUAUCCAGCCUGUGUUUCAGCUGGUAAAGUUGAACACACUCAUAACUUUCACAGGAACAUGAGAUCCCUCUCAGGCUGCCUAAACCCUUCUCUGCAUAAGUUUUCUGGUCCACAGAGCCAGCCCACCAAUGACUUGGGGUGAGUCAUCUGCCUUAUGUGGCACCUAAUGGAAGUGGUAGGAAAGCUGCCUCACUGCUGCUUAAACCUCAAUGACCUUCAUGGCUGAUUGGAACUCUGGUUUCCUAGACCCUAGUCCAUCAUUCUAACCACUACACCAUGCAUUCUCUGCAGUGUCGUGUCAUCCCUGAUCAUUGGCCAUGCAGAGAAAAGAAACCAAUUAUUCACCAGGGGAAGGAGGAGAGGGAUGGGGACAGAGGAUCCUUCCUCUGCAUCUCCUCUUGGAAUCUGCAUGCUGACUUGGGUGGUGGGGGCUUCAUCCAUGCUUGCAUAGCUCAGCUCAGCCCUUCCUUCAAUGCAAGACAUGGAGUUGGAGCCACCCCUUGAAGUUCAGACAGGGAUCUCAAUCCUGUUGCUUGUGUCUGAUCUGCAUGUAUGACCUUCAAACCUCUCAGCAGUGCUUCUGUCCAUAUGCCAAGGACAGUGGAUUUAUCAAGUUGGAUUUAUUGCCUGUCUACAAAGGUGGUUUGAAGAGCAUGUCAAACAUGGAAGCAUUGACCAUAUGAACCUUUAUUACCAUAAAUGUUUUGUUGUUCUUGUUGUUGUUCAUUUAUCCACCAUCGCUAUUAUAUAUGGAACAUACUUAACAUACAUACGUACAUACAUACAUACAUACAUACAUACAUUGUUAUGUAAGGAAGCCUCACAGAAUCAAGAAAAAUCCUUCCCCCUCCCCUAAGUAGUUUCUCUUAGGGAUAAAGAGACCCCAAGUGGAAAGGGAAUUUCCCUGUCAGCUGCUCAAGAAAGGAAUGGUUAGUGAUUAAGGCUUGUAUUUAGUUCUGUGAAACAAAUAACAAAUAUUCAAUAUUGCACAAAAUGCAUAUUUGCGACCAAGGACACUGCUUUGUCCCCAUGACUGAGAGGGCCGGGGUCACCCAGUUUAAGUACACCAUGCACACAUAAAUUUAUUAUUUGUAUAGGUAGCUUAUUGAGGAAAGAUGAUCUUUUGAAUGGGAGAAAAGGUCGGGAUUUUUAAUGUGGUGAGUUUCCUUUUGAAGAGGAAUUCUGCCCGCCCCCAUAUUUGCAUGAGCCCCUCCUCCAAUGACAGAUGGAAUAUAAAGUGGCUCUUACAAGCAAAAUGGUGUAGGCUUUUCCAGGACUUCCUUAUUUGUCAUUGAGAAUGCCUGGACAGAGAGAUGGUUUCCCCUCCUCAGCACUUGCUCUUUGGUACAUCGCUGCUCUGGGCAUUUAUUCAGGCAUGUCUGCAAAGUUUCUGUCCCACAAAACUGACUCAGCAGAAAGAGGGGUGGCUCCAAAUCCCUCCUCUUUAUCCUGCCUGCUGGGACUGCAUAAAUAGAGAGAGAGGGUGAAGCUCCUGAAAGCCCAGAGUAUAUGAUUGCAUAACCUCCAAGAUUCCUCAGAUGAAAAUAAGGACAUUCAUCACUCCCUAACCCUACAACUGAACCUCCUUGACCCCCUUUUAUUCUCCCCUAUGUAGUGCAUUUCCUGACAGAAGAACAGCCAGGUCCACCACACAGAAGACCUAUCCUCCACUGUCACUUCCGGGGUGGCGCCACCGGCACUGGUGGACUCCCUCUGAACUGGAGGGACUAGCUCCGCGGACAACGGGUCUUCUCCGCUACGGCGAGCGGGGACCCUCUUAAAAAUCACAGGCGGAUGAAGCCUGUGACCAUGGAACUCGGCGGGCACCUUUAGCGCCCCCCCAACCCACUAAGGAACCCACUAACGGGCUCCGAAGUGAAGAGGGGGAAGUGGCGCGGUGCUGUGAGUCAACUGCUAUUUCCGUGGAGCGAAGCCGCAUAGCUGUUGCCGGAGAGCGCUGCCUUUUUCCUGGGACAAUUUGGACUUUAAAAUAAGCACCCGUGAGUACUUAGACUUUGAACAAUUGGACAUCAAAUAAGGACUUGCGAGUAGAAAAGAAUCGGACUUUAAAAAUUUACUUGAAUUUGGUACGGAACAGGAAGGUCUAAACAGGAAGUCAUCCUUCCGUUCUUUUGUAAACAGAAUAAAGCAAAGGCAACUUAAACUAGAGCUUAGAAAAUCGCUUUUAAAAGAUUGGAUUUCACCAUUUAAAAUUGUGGAACCCCCCUUCGACAGCAGGAGAAGAGGGGAUCUUUUGGACUGUUUAAAGUGACUUUAAAGUGAAGUAACUUUCCUCCGUCCUGAUCCUGGAGUGGGCUGUCAGGACUGACGUGUGAAGUUCAUUAACCAAAGACAAGUGUUUUUGACAGAUGGCUAAAAGAAGAGAAACCUAGUGAUUCCACUGUUCCCUUUCGCAUUUUAAAGGAUUAUAUAUGGACAAAGUAUCUUUAAAAAGGAUACUUUGUUGCAAGAAUAAAUAGAAGUCUUCCCCCUAGGGGGAGUCUGUGAAAUUGUAACUGUGAAACUGUAACUAACUCCAGGGAGUCGACAGCUGUUACAGAUUACAACCGUGGGAACAAGUAUCUGACCUUGUGGGACAAUGUAUUCAGAAGCCUUCUUGUAUGCUCUCUAUAAAACAAACGAUCUACUGGAACAAUUACACGAGAAGGUGAAUUGGAUGGCGACUUCGACUAGAAAUUUUGAACAGACAGUGGGAAACUUUGAACAGACAGUGGGAAAAUAUGUGGAGCCCACUCAGGAUUUAAAUCAGGAGUGUGUCUUGACAGAACAGGAGUUUUUGACAUUAAAUCAGGAGUGUGUUUUGACAGAACAGGCCCAACAGGAAUAUGAUUUUUGGAUUUGACAAAUGAACUUGGAAAAAGCCAUAUCUGGAAAGGAAAAGUUUGGCUUGGUUUGGAAAUGGGGGGCUGGAUUGACCCCCCUAUGCUGGGAUGUUUGGACUUUUCAAAUAUGGCAACGGGCCGUGAGAUGUUUGGGACUGUGGGGGCUCUCAAUUUUGGAGGGCCUUUGAAACAUGCUUUUAAAUACUACAUGGAAUUCAUUGUUGAACAUGGAAAAGGGGCUGAUCUGUUGAGAAGGGUUAAAAACAUUGUCAAGCUGGAGUUACCACGCGCAAGAGACAAGGGAAAAUACAGUUACAAAUAUGAAGAAGAGCCACGGAAGGGUCAUGGAAGAGACUUGAGGGCCUCGGACAUAAGGUUGCCAGGUUAAUGGGCUAGAUUGACGGGAAUAAGGACUGACAAAACCCGGAACCAGGAGGAAAGGGACGCUGGAUGAAGAUUGGAUCUGUUUAUACCUCUUUUUUCUACUAUUAGAACUGUUUUAUAAAAUUGAUGAAUGAUAGGAAAAUGUUGGAAUGAAAAUACUUGGCUUUAGCAAAGAUGUUUAAAGAAUUAUGAAAGAAUAUUAUCAUCAGGAGAAGUUGGUAAGGAUAAGAUUUAAGUUUUAAGUGUUAAGGUUUAUUUUAUUAUAGAAAGAUAAGGUCAAGGAUUUGCUGGGAUAAUUAAUAACUAGGAUACAAAGAAAGGGAGGAGGAGGAGGUCUAAGAAAGAAGGUAAUGACAGUUAAGGAUUUGAAAAUAAUGAAUUUGUUUUUAAAUGUUUUUAAAGUUUUGUGAUUUUUGUAUUCUUUUUUUCUUUUUUUCUGUCAUUUUUUUCUCAUUUGGAAUUUUUUCUUAUAUGGUGGGAAGGGGUUGGUUUUUUUUUCUUUUUUCUACUUUGUUAACUAUUUUUAUUCUUUGUAUUCUCUUCUGCUUCUCUUUUUUUUUGUAACAUUUUGAAAAUCUCAAUAAAUAUCUUUAAAAAAAAAAAAAGAACAGCCAGGGGCACCACACAGAAGACCCACCCUCCACUGUCCUGAGAAAGCCCCUUAAUCAUUUUUAUUUUAUUGUAUUGUAUUCUUUGAUAGAUUUACAAAAAGAAAAACACAACCAAUAAAUAAAUUUUAAAAAGUGGCAAGAUCAUAUGUGGACAUACAAAACAUUCUUUAAAUUAAAAAAGAUCAAGACUUUUUAUUUAUUUUUUAAUUAAAAAAUAUCAAGUCUUCCCCUCCCCAGUGCAAUUCCAAUUGAAAGUUAGGAAAAGGUGGCAAUUGCCUAUUCAGAUUUUUGCUUGAACUAUCCAGUUUAUUCCCCACAAACAGGAAAGAAAUGCUUUUAAGACUUCAGAUGAAAGUUUUUGUCUGAGCCUACAUUGAGUUCCUCUCACUAUGUCUCUCUUGCACAGUAAUGCACGACUGUGUCCUCAGGUUUAAGGUUGAGCAUGGCAUUUCCAGAUUACUUUAUUCCCAGUCCAGGAGGACCACAACAUGCUGGUGGCAGAAGCUGCUCCUGAAUAUCUUCCACUGUAAUCAGAAUUCAUGAAAGAACAGAAAUCUUGAAGGGAAGUAUAAAGGCCUGGGAGAGAAACAAAGGAAUGGGCAGGAUGAAUUUGCUUUGAACGGGCUUACUUUGUUGGAACAAGAUGAUUAUGGGACAAUCCCCAACAGGCUAGAGAUGGGCCAAAGAAGAACAAAUGUUCCCUGUAGUAACAGCUAAUGUUGUUCCCUUGCUUUGUCUGCUCUGUCCUGAUAGAUUCUGGUUUGUGGUGCUUUGAUGCCCCCUCUGGAAUCCUCACUUAAGAAAUGCAAUGAAGGGUUUUUGGCUAAGGUCUAAUGGGAAGCCUCUCACUGUGUAUCUUGCACAGUAAUACAUUGCUGUGUCUUCUGCUGCCAGGCUGUUCAUUUGCAGAUAGAGCAGGCUGUUUGAAUUGUCCCUGGAAAUGGUGAAGCGCCCCUUCACUUUAUCCAAGUAGCGAAUGUCAGCUGAAGCACUAGAUAUUUGUGCCACCCAUUCCAAGCCUUUUCCUGGUGCUUGUCUCACCCAGUGCAUGUAAUAGCUGAGGAAGGUGAACCCGGAGGCUCUGCAGGAGAGGCGGAGAGACUCUCCAGGCGUUUUAAUAUCUCCUCCUGAUUCUGUGAGCUGGAUUUCUGACUGUACACCUGAAAGAUAGACUUAAGGUUAGACUGCAGGCUCAUUUACAAAUACAAUGUAACAGCCGUCUUUAUCUGAAAGAAGGAUUACCUUCAAAUACCACUAAAAGUAAAACACAGUGAAGGCAAGAUGUCAUUUCCACUUAUUUUUAAUGGGACAGUGAUCAAGUAAAAAAUAGCAACCCAGGCAGGGACACACAAAGGUUGUGUACUUGGGUUUUUGUUUGCUCAGGAAUAAUAUAUGCCAGAUUUUAACAGGAAGCUGUUUAAGUAUUUGCAUAUCUGUGAGGAUAACAGAGCAGCCCGACAACCCCAUCACAUAGGCAUACAUGUGAUUAUGGACAGUCAAAACUUUCUGGCAACACCCAUGGUGAGGAACAGGGCAGUUGUCUCAAGAUACUGAAGUUAAAAUUGAACUGAAUCAAGCUCUGAAGGAAAUUGGUGGCAGAAAAUCCACUCUUGGUGCUUUGAACCAAAGAAUGGAUUGAAAGUCAAUGCCCAUGAUUGAUAAUUAAAAUACCAGCCUUGGACAUAAUGUAGCAAAAUGUAGACUUAGAUCAACAUCCAUCAACCUGGUCCCCAUUAUCAUUGGGAAUGAUAAUGCCCAUCAGCCCCAGCCUUUCAAUAGUGCCAGCUAAGAAGCAGAAAGAAGAAAGUUUUAUGAAGAGACAAGUUGGUGCUAGCAUUUUGGAGGUGUUGAUGGUUCUUCACUUGUUGACUGGCUUUGCUAGUCAAGCCCACAGUCUUCAUCCCUAGGCCCCUGCCCCUGGGACUCUGCCUUUGUAGAAGCUCCACUCACUAAAACCAGCUUUUAUUGCAGGUGAGGCAGGCAGGGAGGCUGCUGAUUUGGGUACUCAGUUGUGCGGCACCGCACUUGAAAAGGAAGAACCUUAGCUGCACGGGGAAAGUAGCUGGAAAGUGAGGAGGUUUACCUGCCUAACCUAGUGAAACAAGCUGGAAGGAACAAUGUAGCAGUCCUGGGCAUUGUGUUGUGAUUGGGAAAGAACUAUAAAUUGCUGUUGUUUUACUUAUCUAGGCCAGAACAUCAGUUUCUCUGAGUUUCAAUAAAUGAACAUAGUAUUUCCCAGUUUACUUUAUUCCCAGUCCAGGAGGAUCACAGCAUGCUGGUGGCAGAAGCUGCUCCUGAAUAUCUUCCACUGUAAUCAGAAUUCGUGAAAGAACAGAAAUCUUGAGGGAAUAAUGAAGCCCUGUGAGAGAAAGAAAGGAAUGGGCAGGGUAAAUUUGCUUUGAAUGGGUUUAAUGGGUUGGAACAAGAUGAUCAUGGGACAACUCGCAACAGGCUAGAGGUGGGCCAAAGAAGAACAGAUGUUCCCUGUAGUAAAAGCUAUUGUUAUUCCCUUGGUUUUAGUGCUCUGCUCUGAGAGUUUCUGGUUUGUGGUGCUUUGGUGCCCCCUCUGGAAACUUCACUAAUGGAAUGCAAUGAAGAGUUUUUGUCUAAGGUCUAAUGAGAAGUCUCUCACUGUGUCUCUUGCACAGUAAUACAUUCCUGUGUCCUCAGGUUUAAGGUUGUUCAUUUGCAAAUACAGCUGGCUGUUUGAAUCAUCUCUGGAAAUGCUGAAUCGUCCUUUGACGGAAUCCAAGUAGUAAAUGGGAGAUGAAUAUGUAUCUAUAUAGGCCACCCAUUCCAGGCCCUUUCCUGGAGAUUGUCUCACCCAUGACAUGUAAGAGCUGCUGAAGGUGAACCCGGAGGCUCGACAGGUAAGGCGGAGGGACUCUCCAGGCUUUUUUGCAUCCCCUCCAGACUCUACCAGUUUGACCUCCGAUUGGAUGCCUAGAAAAAAAAAAGAUAUCAAUUAGCUCUUCUGCAUAUUAUUAGCAGUCUGGGUGUCCAACUCUUGUUUAUUUGAAAGGAUGGAUUUACUUAUAAAAAAAAUGCUGAAAAGAAAAGAAGCUGAAGCAAAACUAUCAUUUUUUCCAUCUAAUGACUGGAGAGGGUUGAGCAAAUUGUGGCCCCACGUAUUCAGGGUCCUGUGGCUGAGGAAGGGAGGGUGUCUGGUGGAUUUAAAGAGGAAGCAAUCUCCAAUAAUUUGCAUAUGUAGUAAUGUAAAAGCACCACUACAGCUGUUGGGCAAACUAUGGUUCUGAAGGCAAGCCUAGUCUAUAAAACAAGCUAUUAUUUUCCAGUGUCCAGUUUAGCAGUUCUUACCACAGUAGGUUUGUAUAUUCCCCUCAGAAUAAAAGAGCAAAAUGGGGCUUGGGUAAUUAGGUUGCCAUCUUCCUUUUUUCUUUUUUUCUUUUUCCUUUUCUUAUCUUUUCUUUUCUUUUCAUCUUACUUAAAGAUGGGGAAAUAAUGUUAUUGGCAUCUGGAAAUAAUAGAAUGAAUAAAAACUGACACCACUUGAAAUAAAAAUCAUCUUGACCAAAAAUAUGGUUUCAAAGCUUUACUUACAGAACUUUCAUAGAAUCAUAGAAUUAUAGCUUGUUCCAAAAUAGAAAGAAAACAAUUUUACAUCAAAUAGUUGCAUAAAACCAUGUGUUUGUCCAACCAUAAGUUCAGCGUCUUAGUACUAUAAACUCACUCCAAACAGACUCCAUUAGCCUGAAUUCCAGCCUGAGUCUUUUCUCUCCUGAAGAUACAUCAUUAGGAAACCUUACUUCUAUGGUGGCUUGAGCAAGGACAGAGGAAAGGCGGUGUGGUGGGGGCAGGCUGCCCUGGGUGUCACCACUGAGGAGGGUGACAAAAUGCCGGGCGGCACUCACCGUGGGGCUUGCAGUGCACAAGCCACACGUCUCUCCUGGGAGUGACGCGGUGGCUUGGGUGCCGGCAGGCUCCGUAUUGUCACAAACGGUCCACCCGCUGCCUCCCCCUCAGCUGUAGGGUGGCUGAGUGGGAGGAGGCAGGCAGUGUCCUUGGAGGCCCCGUGGAGUAUCCUGCCCCGGCUCACUCCACCGCUGGGCACAGGACACGUGCGCCGCUGCAGGCGCCCAAUGGGCUUGCUCUGCCGCUGAGCUUCAGAACAAAGGACAACUCCCUAAAAAUGGAGGUUUGCAACUGAAAUCAAGAUACAGGACCGUAUCCCAUAAGAACUGUAUGCCUGAAUAGCACCUCAAAUGAAGUGGCAAAGCUUCAUGCUCCAGCACUGGGGAGGCGGAGAUUAGGUGGGGGCAGGGCUGGCGUGCGUCCUGAGGGCAUGGUGUGCCACCCGCAGUGGCGAGACAUGCAUCCUGGGGCCGUGGUACGCCGCCUGUGGGAACUUGGCAGCCCCACCAGAAUUGCACUGCCAGGGGUGGUGCAUUCCCCCCCGCAUGCCUCUUCCUCCACCAGUGCUCAAAUGUUGUCACAUGGUGUGAUUCCUGAAAGCAGUGGAAAAAUUACAGCAAGCACAAAAAUCUGGGAUGAUGGAAUUCCAAAUGGAUGUUUUUCUGGAAUACAUUAUCAUGGGAAUGAGCGCUAAGGUUCGACAGGAUUACACUAGAUUUACAGAAGUAGCUUUUGUGUCAUGUGAGAGAUCUCACCAGAGACAGAAAGCAUGUGGUAAGGAAACAUUGGGAGAAUGGAAUGAAAGGCUGUUUGAAUGCAGCCUUGGAGUGGCACUGUGAUGUAUUGUGCACUUCACAUGGGAGUUGCCCCACUGGGUCCCUGUAUGCUUUUCUUCCCCCCUUGUUGACAAUGCAUCCUUCUCUAGCACCUGCAUUCCAGCAGCAAAUGCUGCAAAGCAGGGCUUUUUGUACAAACAGGAAGAAAGAAGUUCACACUGUGUCGCUUGAACAGUAAUACAAGGCAGAGUCCUCAGGCUUCAAGCUGUUCAUUUGUAGAAAGGCUGAAGUUUGAGAAUUGUCUCUGGAGAUGGUGAAGCGUCCCUGAACUUUGGAAUUAUACCAUUGGCUACUUCCUGAACGACUUACUCCAGCCACCCAGUCCAGUCCUUUCCCGGGAGCCUGACGAAUCCAGUGGAUUUCAUAACUAGCAAAGGUGAAUCCUGAAGCCUUGCAGGAGAGGCGGAGGGAGCCUCCAGGAGCUACAGCACCUCCUCCAGUCUCCACCAACUGAACCUCUGAGUGACAGCCUAAAAAAAUGGAGGAAAGAACAUCAGUGGAAACCUGUGUAGAAAAGUGUGCAAGUCUCGAGAGUUUCCAGUGAGAGAAAUAUUACCUGGGAGAGCUGUCAAGAAGAGAAGGAGGUUUAACCAAAGAAUCAUGACUCUUCUGUGUUGCAGAUUGUUUGGAUCACCUUCUUGACUGGCUCAGUCUUGGCUGGCUGGAGGCUGCAGGACUGAAUUGGAAAGGGCAGCUUUUAAGGCAGUGAAGUGGUUCAACUGAUUUGCAUGUGCUUCAUAUAAUAACCUGCUUUCCUCUUAAUUCACAAUUCUUUCCCAGCUAAAGGGCCACAGAGAAGAAGAGGAGCAAUUUGCAUGUAGAGGUGCUGUGUCCCCAUAGCCCUGUAGGUCACGGCUGACCAAAAGACCACUCAAGACUACAAUGUAUGGUUCAAAUUAGGCGACAACCUUAUUGAAUGCAACUGUAAGAGCCCUGACUGCUAGUUGAUCGACCCAGGGGUCAAACCAAUGUUUAGGAGGCCUUAUUACACACAUCAGGUGCCUCUUCACAAGAACCACCAACUCAAGAAGUGCUAUGGUCCUACCCCGAUAUAUCCAGAAAUGCAUUUAUCUGGGGACAGCUUGCAUCAUUAUGGUAAAAAAGACAUAUAGAAACACAUUAUUUUAAGAGGGAACACUUUGUAUAUUGGUGAAAUUGCAUACAUAAAUGUAUAUAAGGGAGAAAAAUUGCACCAAGAUGCUGACAAGCUUUCAUGAGGACAACUAAAAUAUUGCAAAAACAGUAGAGAAGCAGCACCAGAAUUGGUGACUCUUUCUUGUGAGAUCUCAUCAGAUCUCACCGGAACUGGCCACUAAACAUAGGUAAGGGUAUCUUUGGCUGGGGGCAGGCAGAAGAUGGCACAGCAGUAACACUUCCCAUUUCUUCAAAGGAGGUGAAAUGGGGUUCACUGCCCCUGUUGCAGCUGACCUUAGCUGUGUUUAUUAUAGUUUGGCCAGAGAGGCUCCUCAUAUGUAUAGCUGGAUCUGCGGGUCAUUUGCACUCUUUCCCUCCUUCCUCCACCAACUUUUUCAGAACACUGAAAAUGAAGACCAUUAUCAUCCAAUGUUGAAAAACAUUAUCUUACAGCAGGGUCAACCCAGAAAGAUUUGAGCCAAAGAGGGCUUUGCCGCUCUUUAGAUUCACUUUCUCUCACUGUGGCUCUCUUGGACAGUAACACACAGCUGUGUCCUCAGGUUUCAAGUUGUUCAUUUGUGAAGAGAGCUGACUGUUUGAACCAUCCCUGGAGAUGGUGAAUCUUCCUUUAAUAGAAUCCAAGAAGUAAACAGAAGGUGGAGAUGUGCUUAUUUGGCCACCCAUUUGUGGCCUUGUCCAGGAGCCUUUAACACCCAGUCCAUUGGAGGGGAGACUCCAUGGGGCUUUUAAUGUCCCCUCCAGAUUCCUCGUGCUGGAUUUCUGAAUUGGCACCUGGGAGGGAACCUGGGUGGUGUCAGUAGGGGGCAUCCUAGAUGUGGGUUGGGAAAUGUUGGACGGUAUGUUAUUGAUGAAGGUGGGGUGAACUUUGCUGUGUUCUGGCUUAGUGAGUAGGAACAGGAUGAUCCAAUGGCAACUCACAACAAGGCUGGAUCUGGACCAAAGAAUAAAAGUUUUUCAGUAUUAUUAAUAGCUAUUGUGAAACUAUUAACAGUAAUAAUAUUAAUAGUAUUAAUAAUAUUGCAUGACGAGGUGGCAACUUCCCCAGCCCCCAGGGACCACCAAAAAGGAAUAAUGACUUGUGGCAACGUGUUAUGGAAUUAAAAUUUGUUUUUUGUUUUUUUAAUUAAUAUUUAUUAAGUUUUCAAAGAAUAACAACAAAAAUUGCCAGAAAAAUUUGAAAAUACAAAAAGCAAAAAAGAAAAAGAAGAAAAAAAAACCCAACCAAAAAGAAAAAAAAAGAAAAGGAAAAACAAAAGGAUAAAGUCAUUUACGAUCUCUAUUGACUUCCUUUCCAGACUUCCUCCUCCUCCCCUCUCUUGUUUCUUAGUUUUUAAUUUUUACAGCAAAUCCUUUUCUGUUUUUUCAUAACAAUCUGUCAUUACAUUUCCUUAUUCUAUUUUCCCUCUUGUCAUAUAAAAACUUUAAAACCCAAAGCUUAUAUUCUGUAUUUACCAAAUUCUUAUUAUCAUUACCUUUUUGCAAGUCAUUUACCAAUCUUUACAUAAGCCAUAUAAUUUCAAUUCAGCAUCUUUCAAACAUUUAUAAACAUUCCCGAUAUUAAAAAAUAAGGAAAAUAGUAAGUCAGACACAAUCCAGUCAACUUCCAGCGUCCCCUCCCCUGGACCCGGGAUUGUCAGUCCUUUUUACUUCAAUAGUCCGGCUCCUUAACCUGGUUGUCUCGUGUCCGAGGCCCUCAAAUCUCUUUCUUGCCCCUUUCGCGGCUCUUCUUGAUGUUUCCCUUUCAGUCGUGGGUACUCCAGCAGAAAGAUACUUUUGACCCUUUGCAACAAGUCCAUCCCAUACCCAUUGUCCAAGCCAGACAGCAGAUAGUACCACUUCACAUUUCCUCGAAACUUGGAGGCUCCGACUGCUCCAAACCUCUGAUGACCCAUCACCAGACUCGGAAAGUCCAGAUAUCCAAAUAAAGGGGUCAAUCCAUCCCCCAUUUCCAAAUCUAACCACAUUUUAUCUUUCCGAAUCUGGUUUAUCCCGUGUUAUGGAAUUAAAAUUUGGACACAACUUUAUUAAACUUUCAAGUGUAGGAAGACCUUGGCUUAGGCAUUGGCUGUGUGUCCCUUCCAGCCCCCAGCUGGGAGAACUGGGGCUCCUCAGGGUAAUUGGGAUAUGGGGGUGCUCUGCAAGAUGCAUCUGUAUGCAGGCAGCUCACCCCAUAUCCCUGCACGUAGGGUAGUUCACUGACAACCUUUCAGUGUAUGGCCAGUGACACCCAUAUGACAACCCCUUUAAAAGUGGACCCUGGAAUCACCACUGUGUGUGGGGGGGUGAGUGUGGGGGGGGCAGAGACAAGGAGUGUCGGCUGCAGUGAUAGGCAAUUGUUUCCCCUUAUAUAAAGAUGUAAGCAUGCAAUAAACUUAUGCAAUUCCAUAAAAAGUAGGGGAACAAUUUGCCUUUGUUGGCAAUGAUUUUGGGGUGAGCCUGCCUCAUUAGGCACAUCUCACCUGGCAGCAGGUGGAGGUGUGUUGUUUUCUGUUGAGAAAGAGUAACCUUUCAUCAAUGUUCAAUAUGCACAGUUUGUUCCAGAGCAGCUCCCUCAGGAUUGAGUCAAAGGAUUCUUUUAGGUGCAGAAACGCUGUACAAAGUUUUUGAUUAAGAACACUAGAGUAUUUAUUCCCUAGGUGGGAAAGUAUGAUACAAUGACACAAGGUGGUUUUGCUCUGGCAAAAGCACACCUCCUCAGGGACUGGUAAUGUAGAUGGGACAUCCACUGGGUAAGCUUUCCCAGAAGUUGUUUAGCAUAUAGCUUCCCACUAGGGAGAGGAGGAUUAUUGGUCUGUAUUUGGAUAGCAAUGUGCACUCUCCCUUUUUGUAUAUUGGAACGACAAUUUGUAUUAUACAAUAUACAAACGACGAUUUGUAUAUUGGAACGACGAUAUAUUUGUAUAUUGGAACGACGAUUGCACUUGUCCAUCCCUCUGGCAUUAGUCCAGACAUAUCUACCUCUGUGAAUAGAUUGGCCAGCAAGAGAGCCCACCAAUCAGGGUCUAGCCUAAGAACAUUGGGACCUAUGCCAUCUGGGCCAGCAGCUUUCACUUACUUUAACUGGCCUAUUAACAUUUUUCUUUCAUCUCAUGAAACUGGAGGCCACGUGGGGGCUCGCUUUACGUAGAAUGAUGAAAAGCUGUCCCACUGGAAAGAUCUUCCUGCAAGGCACUUGAAAAGUAAAGGCACCAACCACUAGGUGAAAUAGGCGGAGAGGAGAGGUCAUUGGUGUUAAAUGCACCAGAAAUUAACGAACAGAAUUUGUUUCAUUGAGGUUAUGGCAUAGUGUUGUUCCCAUUGUUUGUUGGCAGGUUCGGAUUUCUCUCUUUUUUUAUAAGAUGCUACAGCGGCUCCCUCGGCCAAUAAAGCAAGAUGAGCACCGCAACCCCAGAGUCGGCCACGACUGGACCUAAUGGUCAGGGGUCCCUUUACUUUUACAGUAAGUUUUUAGUCCUGAAAUAUUCUAGUGGUAGGGUGGUAGCCUCUUCCUUACAGUGUUGUCAGGAGAUAGGCAACCACUAGGCAAAAUAGGUGGAGAGGAGAGGUCAUUGGUGUUAAAUGCCCCAGAAACUAAGGUCCAGAAUUUUUUUCUUUGAGGUUUUGGCAUAGUGGAGUUGUUCCAAUUGUUUGUUGGUAGGUUCGGAUCUCUCUCUUUUUUAUAAGAUGCUGCAGUAAGUUUUUAGACCUGAAAUAUUCUAGGGGUAGGGUGGUAGACUCUUCCUUACAGUGUUGUCAGGAGAUAUUGCAGAUGUGUGCUUUUGUGCUGGUCCCGGGGGUAAGGUACCUUGGGUGUAGCAGAGUCCACACGAAGAGGGGCAAGGUCCGAGGCAGAGAGCCGGGCGGGGAACAGGAAUGCUGGAACAGGAGGCUGUGCAGGGAACAGGAACACCGGAUGGUCGGGAACAGGAGGCCGAGCAGGGAACAGGAGUACCGGAUAGUCAGGAACAGGAAGCCGAGCAGGGAUCAGGAACACAGGAAGGUCCGAAGCCAACAACGACGUUGCUCCCGCAACCUGGGGCCGGGCUGACUGGGCUUUUAUCCUCUUCUAAGGCCAGGGCCGGUCCCGGUCCCCAGCAGCCCCGCCUCCUCAGUCCUUAAGGCGAGCACUCCUCCUGGGGGCAACCAGUUCCCUUCGCCUCUGCCCUAAGCCUCUGCAGAUCAGGAGAGGCCGAAGGGUUACUGGGCCCUGGAGGAGGCUCACCUGUGGCCACUGAGUCAUCAAGCCCCUCUGGGGCCCGAAGGGCUUCACCUGGGGCCAGCUCCUGAUGCACUGCCACAGGUGCAGGCUCUUCAGCAUCAAGGCCUUGCCCCAGUUCAGCCGGCCCUGGAGGCGGGGACUCCUGUGCAGGCCGGGAUUCCUCUGUUUCAUCCUCCGAAUCGGAAUCCCAGGCCAUCACACCAUCCUCCUCCCAGGCCCCCUCAACCGAGGGUCCGGACCCGGCUUGCCGGGAUACGUCGCAUGGAACUCUCGGAGGCAGGCAGGUGCAUGGACAUUGGCCGCUGGUUCCCAGGAACGGUCCUCCGGUCCGUACCCCUUCCAGUCAAUGAGAUACUGCAGCUUUACCCUGCGGUAUCGGGAGUCCAGGAUGCGUUCCACCUCGUACUCAGGCUCUCCCCGAACCAACACUGGCUGCGGUCGGGGACGGUUCUGGUGGAACUCGUCGGGUGGGGCCACCGGACUCAAAAGGGACCUGUGGAAGACCGGGUGAACCUUCAGGGUUGCGGGUAACCGGAGACGGAAUGCCACAGGAGAGAUUUGGUCUACGAUAGGGAACGGGCCGGUGAAGCGGGCGUCCAACUUCCGCGAAGGUCGAGAGGGGUGGAGGUGGCGAGUGGAGAGCCAAACCAGGUCACCGACGCGGUUCCGGCCCCACCUGGCGGUGGCGGUCGGCCUGGGCUUUGUACGCUUCCUUGGCCUGGUGCAGUUGCUCCACCAAAAGCUGUUGCUGGGACUGGAGCUCUUGAAGCCACUCCGUCACCGCCGGGACCGCGGAUGCCGGCAGCACCUCUGGAAACAGCCGUGGAUGAUAACCAUAACUGGCCUGGAACGGGGUCUGCUGGGUGGACGCAUUCACCGCGUUGUUAUAGGCGAACUCCGCCAAUGCCAGGUGGUCGACCCAGUCAUCCUGCUGGUAGCUGCAGUAACACCGGAGGUACUGCUCCAGCACCGCGUUCGCCCGUUCCGUCUGGCCAUCGGUCUGUGGGUGGUAGGCUGACGAGAGGCAGACCUCUGUCCCGAGGGUCUGGUGUAAUGCUCGCCAGAACCGGGAUGUGAACUGAACGCCCCGGUCGGACACCACGCGCUCAGGUAGACCAUGCAGGCGGAAGACAUGCUGAAGGUACAGCUGAGCAGUUUCCUUGGCUGUGGGUACAGAUGGACAGGGAGCGCAGUGCACCAUCUUGGUGAAAUGGUCGGAGAAAACCAGAAGGCAGGUACAGCCACGAGACGAGGGUAAGUCCACUACAAAGUCCAACGAAACUGUGUGCCAAGGGCGCGGUGGAACUGGCAAUGGCUGAAGUAGGCCGGGGGUCGCCCGGUAGGCCCCUUGGCGCGUCGGCAGACAUCACAACCAGCAACGUAGCGAGCCACGUCAGCCUUCAGGCGGGGCCACCAAAACUCGCGACUGACCAGAUGGGUGGUCCGAUACCGUCCAAAGUGCCCCGCUGCCGGGGCAUCAUGGGCCAUCCGGAGAACCUCCAGCCGCAGUGGCCCUGGCGGGAUGUACAGACGACCGUGGUGCAGCAGGAGGCCCUGAUGCAGGACCAGCCCCGGAUACUGUGGGCUGGACCCUUCAGCCAGCUCCCGGAGUCGUUCCUGGGCCCAAGCGUCGACCCGCUGCUGUUCCCGCACCCGAACCUGCAGUGGCUGCGCCUCCUGGGUGGCCAGGAAUGCGGCCGGAGGUAGGAUCGUGGCGGGCUCUGCUUGCUGUACCGUGUCUGCGUUGUCUUCAGGUUUCCGGGACAGGGCAUCCGCCUUCAGAUUCUGAGAGCUAGGGAUGUAGCGGAUCCGAAACUGGAACCGGGAACAGCACACCGCCCCCCGGAUCUGUCUUUGGUUCCGCUCGCGGGUGGUCCGGAGGUACUCCAGGCUCCGGUGGUAGGUACUGACCUCCACGGGAUGUCGUGCCCCUCAAGAUGGUGGCGCCAGACCUCAAAGGCUACCUUGAUGGCCAGUAGUUCCCGCUCCCACACAGUAUAGUUACGCUCCGCUGGUAGGAGCUGGCGGGAAUAGAAGGCACAGGGUAAGAGUGGCGCUUCGGGCCCAAUCUGUUGAGACAAGACGGCACCAAGAGCCGUACUGGAGGCGUCGGUCUCCACCACAAAGGGUCGAGAGGGGUCAGGAUGCUGUAAGAUUGGUGCCCUCUGGAAACAGGCCUUCAACCCCUGAAACGCCUCCUCUGCCUCCUUGUCCCAGGAAAACGGCGUCUUUGGGCGCAGUAGCCGGGUCAACGGGGUGGUGCGAUGAGCAUAAUCAGCGAUGAAGGUCCGGUAGUAAUUGGCGAACCCCAGGAAACGUUGUAGGUCCUUGCGGUUCCGGGGUGCCGCCCAUUCUUGAACCGCUGUCACCUCCCCGGGUCCAUUUGCACCCCAUCCGGAGAGAGCCGGUGACCAAGGAAGUCCACAGUCCGCUGAUGGAACUCGCACUUGCUGAGCUUUGCGUACAAACGGUGCUCACGCAAGCGCUGCAGCACGGUCCGGACAUGUCCCUCAUGGCGAGCCGGGUCACGGGAGUAAAUCAGUAUGUCAUCCAAAUACACCACCACGUACUUGUCUAACAAGUCCUGAAACACGUGGUUGAUGUAGCGUUGGAACACAGCAGGCGCGUUGCACAACCCGAAAGGCAUAACCAAAUAUUCGAACUGCCCGUACCGGGUCCCAAACGCUGUCUUCCACUCAUCCCCGGCUCGGAUCCGAAUCAAGUUGUAGGCCCCCCGGAGGUCCAGCUUGGUGAACACCUGUGCCCCUUGCACCCGCUCCAGCAGCUCCGAGAUAAGGGGCAAGGGGUAUCGGUCUGGGACGGUAAUUUUGUUCAAGGCUCGGUAAUCAUGGCAAGGGCGGAGUUCCCACAUUUCUUCUUAACGAAAAGCACUGGUGCCGCGGUAGGCGAGGUGGACGGCCUAAUGAACCCACGCUCCAGGUUCUUGCGCAAGAAGUCCUGCAAAGCCUCGCGCUCUGGCUCUGUUAGAGAAUAUAAGCGACUCACUGGUAGAGGCGCUCCGGGUUGGAGGUCUAUGCCGCAGUCCAAAGGCCCAUGCGGCGGCAGCUGGUCUGCCCCCGUUCCUCGAACACGUCCUGGUAGUCCUGAUACACGGCUGGGAGCGUGGGUGCUGCCUCCUCUGAAGGCGCGGCCGCCAGCGUCCCGGAUUGAGCAUGGGAACAUGGGUCUGGGAAGUGCACGGUCCGUUUGACCCAGUGAAUCUGAACGUUGUGGGCUUCCAGCCAGUCCAUCCCGAGCACCAGGGGGAAGCGGGGCAUAGAGGCAAUGUCCAAAGUUCGCAACUCCCGGUGCUGCUGGAAACACAGGACCAGGGGCUGGGUCUCCUGAGUAACGGCACCUGAACACAGAAGUCGUCCGUCAAUCGCUUCCACCUGGACCGGUACUGGCUUGUUCCGAAGUGGCACCUGAUGAUGGGCGGCAAAAGCAGCGUCCAUAUAAGAGCGGGUUGCCCCUGAAUCCACCAAAGCAAACGUACCGGAACCAUAAGAUGUUGCGAGUCCAUUGAUGCAGGCCCAUUCUGCGCGGUUUGGGACCCCCGGCAGCUAGGGCCAUCAGCUACUGGGGUUGGCGGUUUCCCUGCGGCUGGCGUUUCUCAGGGCAAGACCGAGCGAAGUGUCCACUUCCGCCACAGUAAAGACAGAGAUUUCCCUCCCGACGCCGCGCCUUCUCUGCGGGGGAAAGGCGUGGCCGCACUGCCCCGAGCUGCAUAGGCUCCUCCGUUAAAUCAGUUGUGACCGUGGGGCUGCCGGAAAAGCUGGUGCCGUGAACUGGAAGUGUCGGCGACCCCGGGCCUGACGACGAUCCUCCAACCGGUCGUCUAUUUGUAGACUCCGUUGAAUGAGAGUGUCUAGCGUGGUGGGGCGUUCCAUUGUGGCCAACUGGUCCAGUACCUCGUCCGAAAGCCCUUCGAGAUACUGGUCCCGCAGUGCCGAAUCAUUCCAGGUCAAGUCCUGUGCCAACAGCCGAAACUCCGUGGUAUAUGCGGCCACCGUGGACUUGCCCUGUUUCAAACGCCGAAUCGCCCGGUUGGCUUGACUCCUUUCUGGGGGUUGCCGAACGCGGCCUCCAAACGAUUGCAAAACCCCGUAUAGUCUGCCAGCAAGGGGAGUCUUGCCUGAGUAGCGGCAACGCCCACUUGGCCGCCUGGUCCUUUAACAAACUAAUCAAAAAGUGCACCUUGGUGCGGUCGUCAGGAAAGUUCCGGGCUCGCCCCUGAAUAUACAGCUUGGCCUGGGCCAGGAACAUGGGAAAGCUGGCCGGGGCUCCAUCAAAUUUCUCAGGCAAAGCCACUGGGUACUUGCCAGGAGCCGAGGCGUCGGCCCCAGGAGCCGGUAGGGCUUCCAAGCGUUGUUGAAGUGCCACAACCGCGUCACUGAGCUGCUGCACGGUGUGAGUCAAGGCCUGGUUCUUCUGGGCCAAAGCCACCAGUGCAGCCGCCUGGUCAGCCAUGGCCUCUGGCUCUUCCCGAACGCACCCCUACGAAGGGGGAGUGCGGGUUUGGCGGGAGCAAACUGUGCUGGUCCCGGGGUAAGGUACCUUGGGUGUAGCAGAGUCCACACGAAGAGGGGCAAGGUCCGAGGCAGAGAGCCGGGCGGGGAACAGGAAUGCUGGAACAGGAGGCUGUGCAGGGAACAGGAACACCGGAUGGUCGGGAACAGGAGGCCGAGCAGGGAACAGGAGUACCGGAUAGUCAGGAACAGGAAGCCGAGCAGGGAUCAGGAACACAGGAAGGUCCGAAGCCAACAACGACGUUGCUCCCGCAACCUGGGGCCGGGCUGACUGGGCUUUUAUCCUCUUCUAAGGCCAGGGGCGGUCCCGGUCCCCAGGAGCCCCGCCUCCUCUGGCCUUAAGGCGAGCACUCCUCCUGGGGGCAACCAGUUCCCUUCGCCUCUCUGCCCUAAGCCUCUGCAGAUCAGGAGAGGCCGAAGGGUUACUGGGCCCUGGAGGAGGCUCACCUGUGGCCACUGAGUCAUCAAGCCCCUCUGGGGCCCGAAGGGCUUCACCUGGGGCCAGCUCCUGAUGCACUGCCACAGGUGCAGGCUCUUCAGCAUCAAGGCCUUGCCCCAGUUCAGCCGGCCCUGGAGGCGGGGACUCCUGUGCAGGCCGGGAUUCCUCUGUUUCAUCCUCCGAAUCGGAAUCCCAGGCCAUCACAGCUUUGAGAUCUCUGCAUUCCUUAUCAAACCAGCAGCAAAGGGCUCCCUGAAUUGUUUUCACACUUUUAUUUUUUUUGGUAAAGUCAUUCAGAGAUGUUAUUAGGAUUUCAGCUGAUGCCGCAGAGCAUCUGACACGUCUCUGCUCAAUUUGCAUGUUCAAAAGUUGUUUCCAGAAUUGUGGGGAAAUCUUUUGAGGAGUCAAACUCUCAGGGGACCAGUACAAAUGAAGCAGAGGAGAAAACAAUUGUCUUUGUGGAAGAAAACACAAACCAACAUACAGUUACACAGCACCCCAAUCUCUGAGCGGUGCAAAAUUCCGAGAGUUCCAGGCACUCAUGCAGGGUCCGUAUUUACUUUUUAAAAAUGAGGCACUAUAGAGACUAUGUUGUCUUUAUGAUAUAUGGUUUAUUUAAACAUAUAUACAACCUGAGCCUGUGCUGGAGGGGCUCACAACAUUGACACCUGAAGAGGAUAUUACCGUACUUCUCUCAUAACUGUACAGAAUCUAAUCCAUCAUCCCAGUUGAUGUUUAGCUUCAUACAUGCAUAGGGGAACAUGAGAACCUUUCUCAGCUUUUGCUCAGUUUUUGCAGUACCUCUUUAUUAUUCUCAUUGAAUUCUUAAUUUCCAUUGGAGCCAUUCCAUUUCCAAGUUUGAGCCACACCAGGAAGUUCAGACAGGAUCUCAAUCCUGUUGCCUGUGCUUGAGCCAUCAUGGUCUGAUCUGUACCUUCAAACGUCUCAGCAGUGCUUCUGCCCAUAUGCCAAGGGCAGUGGAUUUAUCAAGUUGGAUUUAUUCCCUGUCUACAAAGGUGGUUUGAAGAGCAUGUCAACCAUGAGGCAUUGGCCAUAUGAACCUUUCUCACCAUACAUGUUUUUUGUUGUUGUUCAUUUCUCUACCAUUAUUAUUAUAUACAUAGCUGUCAACUUUUCCCUUUCCUUGCAAGGAAUCCUAUUCACAAUAAGGGAAUUUCCCUUAAAAAAAAGGGGAAAGUUGACAGCUAUGAUUAUAUAUGGAACCUACAUAACAUACAUACAUACAUUGUUAUGUAUGGAAGCCUCACAGAAUCAAGAAAAAUGCUUCCCCCUCCCCUAAGUAGUUUCUCUUAGGGAUAAAGAGACCCCAAAUGGAAAAGGGAUUUCCCUGUGAGCUGCACAAGAAGGGAAUGGUCAGUGAUGUUAUUUAGUUCUGUGGAACAAAUAACAAAUAUUCAAUAUUGCACAAAAUACAUAUUUGUGACCAAGCACACUGCUUUGCCCCCAUGACUGAGAGGGUCGGGACCACCCAGUUUAAGCACGCCAUACACGCAUGCUCUGGGGCAUGCUGCCAUCACUCGUUGACCCAGGGGCAAAGUAGAGGAAAAUAGACAGCAGCUUUGCCAGCCCUCUCCUUGGCUGUGCUGCAAUGCAAGAGGGAGCUGCCGAGAGAGUUUCCUCAUGCCUGGCUGCAGCCUCCACUCCAGGAUCAGUCCAGACCUGGGGGCAGAGACAAGGAGUGUCGGCUGCAGUGAUAGGCAAUUGUUUCCUUAUAUAAAGUUGUAAGCAUGCAAUAAACUUAUGCCAUUCCAUAAAAUGUUAGAAAGUAAACCCACUGGAUUGUGACAGACAAUGGUUCUCGUGAGUCUCAGCAGGAGCUUCCUUUACAUCUCCUCUUUAACGAACCUUUCACUGGACAUGGAGAAUGAGGACGGAAAGCUCUGCUGGAUCAGUUGUGAGGCAUCACCUUGGUACCAUAUAUCAAAUCGAAACAAACAUUAAAAUGGGGGCAUUCACUAGGUAAAGGGACAAGCAAAAAGAAAACGGGGAACAAAAUUUAAUCAGGACAGUGGACUGUCAAGCAUGUUUUUGUAAAAAAGCUGCAGUUACAGGAAAAUUCUUCCCCCUUUCAUUGGAGAUACUGCAGAAUGUUGAGGUACAUUCUGCAGGCAAAACAUAUGUUCUAUGAUUAAUCCUCAUCAUCAACAUCAUAAGCCCAAAUGAAUGUCCAAACAUAUAUAAUGGUUGAGAAUUCUGUGAUAUGUCUAUCUUCAUAUGUAUCACCCAGGUUGUCAUUAAGACUGAUUAAUCAGGAGGUUAGGCUGAAUGGAACUCAAUGUUCAAGAGAUCAGCUCCCUCUCUUUGCAAUAAUAUCAUCUUUAUGUUUAUGGAGUAGAGACAGAAAUGUGUGUUCAAAAUCAGUUCCCUCUUUUUGUACACAUCCCCCAUUGGCCUUGUCUCACUGUGUUUCUCGGGUACAGAAAUACAUAGCAGAAUCAGCAGCUGUCAGGGAGUUCAGAUGGAGAGAGAACUCGUUCUUGGAGGCAUCUGAAGAAAUGGUUGCUCGGCUUUUCAGAGAAGGGGCAUACCAUUUGCCCCCUGAGUUGUGAUUUAUUGCUGCAAUCCAUUCUAGACCUUUCCCACGAGGUUGACGGAUCCACUGCCAAGCGUAAGAAGAAGAAGUGGAAAUAGAGAAACCUGUCACUUUACAGACUAAGCUCAGAUUCUCUCCAGGUCUCACUGUUCCUGGUCCAGAAGGUGCAAGCUGAAUGUCUGAGAAGGCCC
rnacentral:lncRNA from 1 species